GUUUUUUUUUCUGGAGAGAUAUUGAUGCCAACAUAUGGUCUGUAGAAGUAAGGAUAGAUGUUUGAUAUUUCCACGUCACUUUUUGGGUGCUACAUUAAUCCACUCCAUUAUGCAUUUUUCCCGCUAUGCCGAUUUUAGAACUACAGUUAUUCAUUCCGCUGCUAUGUUUGUUCCAGCGAUUUGCUCCUGCUGCAGCCGAAUUAAAUGGCACCCUCUAUGUUGUUGGUGGUUAUGAUUUCAGCGACGGCUCAUACUUACAGUAAUGAUUCCUCAGCAUUCUCUACAUUUUUUCAUGAUUAUACCAUUUAAACCUGCAUAAUAAAUGAAAGAUUUUAAUACCCACAGAUCAGCAGAAAGGUAUGAUCCAAGGGAAGGUUUCUGGACCCAGCUUGCAAGCAUGAAGACAAAAAGAGGAUCCCACUCUGUUACUGUCCUGGGGGAAUCUCUGUGAGCCCCCCUCUCCCUCUGUCUCUCUUUCUCUUGACCCUGUGAUCAUCAAGUUCCCAAAAUGUCAACAAAUUACCUUCAGCAAUAUAAUUAGAUGUAUAAUUUUGAAUUCUUUCAUUCACUCAGGCAAUGAGAUGUUAAUAAGUUUGACGUCUCUUAAACAUACAACUACAUGCUCAGCAGUAUAAUUUUUUCUUACAGUGCACAUAUCAAUCUAUGUUUCAGAUAUGCUCUGGGAGGGUACGAUGGAGACCAAAUGCUUUCCACUGUGGAGAUCUUUGACCCUCGUGCCAAUUCGUGGAGGAUAGGCAGCCCGUUCAGCGUCCCAAGAGGAUAUGGGUGUGCGGUGACAGCGGACGAUAAUGUGUACCUCAUUGGCGGGUCUGAAUCCAAUGGAGAAACUGUUGAAACUGUAUGGUUUCUGACAGCUUACUCUGGAUCACUGAUUGUUUCGUCUACGUAUUCAAGCCUCACUCAUUUCCUUCUUUUGUGUGGAUUCGCAGGUGGAAGUUUACAACGAGAGGCAAGGCUGGACUAUCCCUGGCUACAAGGCGAUAGGGAAGAGGGCCUUCGCCUCUGCCAUCGUCGUUUGACAGGGCUGCAGAUCUCAUAUCCUGCCCACAUUUUGCUUUUUGCCGGAGCCAUAUGGACCCCUUCUCCCGUUGCCGGUGGGUUCUGUACAGUAUGAGAUGCCGAUCACAGUAUAACCCUCUUCUCGAAAUAGCCGCUGGGGGUUUGAGAAUUUUUUUGCGGCACGCCCCUGUGCCGAUGUACAGAUGUAACCCAUCAGUUUGGUGCUUGUCUCAGACACCAUAGGAUUGAUCUCACAGCAACACAAGGUCUUGACGCUAACAGAGCACCUGCAGCAUAUCCUCCUGCUGCGUUCUUGAGUGGGCGCAGACGCGUGGUUCCUUGUUUCUGUCUCUUUUUUUGGGCGAUACUUGAUUGCGCCUGAACAAAUUGAACUGAUCGCGGUUCAUGAGUGGCUACUCGGAAAUUUGAAAUGGAAAAACCCCAACUGUUUUUGCAAUGUGUGACCUUUUUUUUUUAUGAUGCGACCCGGGGAUUCUUAGUGCUGAAGCACCAUUUAUUUGUUCUGUUCUUGUACCUAGCUUAGCCAGUAGCUCUGCCUUUUCUGGCAGCCCGUGGAGAUAAAUAGUUCCAUUGCGUCUGUGGCUGUAAGCUUCCUGUUUGGAAUGUUGGACUAUUCUGGCGGUUUGGGUGGGAAAGUUUGGGAUGGAAUGCAACGCUGCUAAGCGAAGAAUAUGGUCCUAACUGACAGCUCCUAACCCCGCCUAACUGUCUAUCUAUUGUAGGGGCAAAGCUUUGCUCGCUCAAGCUUGAGCAGCAAGGCACCUUGAGAGAUUGCCAACCAGCGGAUAGUUCCCAUGGACGAGCAAUGAACCGUGCAUGUGCUGAAAAGCCACAGAGUUAUUUUAUUGCGCAUCCCUCAUUUCAAGCGCAUUUCGGCAUGAAAAUUCACAAACAUGUACAUUAUGCCUCUAGGUAUAUGUGUAAUUUUUUUUAACAUGAAAUAAAGGUAUGGAGUUUGAAUUUUUUAAAAUUCGGCCUUUAUGGAGCUUAUCCUCCAUUCAGGAUUUUCGAUGCAACAAGAUACUCCUCCGCACCGGUCAGUUACUCCAUUUUACAAAUCCACCCUCUAGAAUUCAAAACCUUCCCAGUUCACACCCUCCAGGCCACAACGACGCCUCCCCUCAUAAGCCGCCGCCGCGCUCUAGCUCGAGCUCCUCCCGUGCGACGCCGCCUCCACCAGCGCAUCAGGCUGAGCUCCAGGCCGCGCUCCAGCGUCUCAAGCUGAGCUCAAGCGGCCUCCUCCGCCUCAGGUUGUGCUCCAGCACCAUCCAAGCCAUGCUCCAGUGUGCUGCCUCUGCGCCAAGCUGCAGCUCCAGGCCACAACUCCAGGCGCUCCUCCGCCUAGCUCACGCUCCAGGCUCAAUCGAGGGACGAUCUCACAGAGGAGGAUGGUGAUGUCGGAUCUGAACUUGACUCCUCCACAAGAGGAGGACGAUCAGCAAAAUUAUCCUGAAGAUAAGCAAAACCAAGAAGAGGAGGCAGAUGAUCAUGCAACAUGUACGGAUGCAAUUUACAAUAAUCAGGUAGAAGUAUAAUUUACAGCAGCACCAAAUACUAUAGUCAUGCAAUUUAGAAUGACGCCAAAAAUUUACAACAACGCCAAAUUUUACAGUGAAUUAUACUGAAUGAGUAGUUUCAGGGAGUAGAUUGACAGAAUCAAGUAGUGCACUGACUAAAUUACAUUGUUCAAUCAGGGAGUACACUGACUAAACUUACAGUGGAGUAAUUUGACAAAUUGUGUAAACUUGACUGUCAAACAAUUUACAGGAGUUUGUAAUUUGACACACAGUUUACAUUAAAGUACAUUGACUAAAUCUACUCCUGUAAACUUGAGUAAUUUGAUAAGAGUAAAUCACCCCUCAUUUACCGAAAAAGGGUUUCCCCCCGCUUUGUAUUACAAAGCACCAACAUCGAUCACAUAGCAAUGUUCGGGCGAGAAGCACAACAAGCCCAAAAGGAAAAGAAAGAACAAAGAAGAAAGAAAUGCCAACAACGGCAGCUUGACAAAGCGCGGAGACCCGCCACCGCUGCGCCCUCCGGACUCGACCCACCACAUACCAAGGCUCCGAUCUGCCGCGUACCAAGCAGCACCUCCAAGAAGGGAUGCGACGCCAACGACGCUGCUGCCCGGACGUGUCCUAGGGUUUCCCCCGGCACGCGGAAGGGAGUGGGGGAUGGAUACCUCCGACACCCUCCAGGAAGGAAUGGUGGCACCCGCGGGUGUCACCGCAUCGGAGCCGGAAAAGCCGGCAAGGGAUUUCUCCCGAAUUCCAACCCCACCGCCCAACCAGGCCGGAGCCAACCAGCCACCUCGCCGCCCACCAAUGCGCCACCGCGGUCUUGACGCCACCCACGCCGCCUCACUGAGAUCACCACCACGAGACCAAGAGGAUGGAGAGAGACGCACGAGGCGACGGAAGCAGCAGCACCGGAGCCACGCGGGAGGGAACUACCUCCACCGCUGUCGUGCAGGAGGACCGAGUCUCCGGCACCGUCGCGGUCGCCGUCCGGACGCAGCAGCAGGGCAUACCAGGCCGCCCCUGGCCCGGCCAGACCCAAAUCGGGCCCGUAAAGCCCCGCCGGCCACGCUGCAGCAGGGCGGCACCAGCGCCGCCAGCCACCACCCGCCCAUCGUCGCUCCCCAGCCUCCCGGAAGCCACGCCGACGACCCUCCCCGCCGCCGGCCCGCCCAGGCCCAGAUGGGGCCCGGAGGGCCCAGAUCUGGGCCGAGCGGGCGCCGCCAGAUCGCGCCGCCUCGCCGCCCCGCCGCCAACGGCAGCGCCNNNNNNNNNNNNNNNNNNNNNNNNNNNNNNNNNNNNNNNNNNNNNNNNNNNNNNNNNNNNNNNNNNNNNNNNNNNNNNNNNNNNNNNNNNNNNNNNNNNNNNNNNNNNNNNNNNNNNNNNNNNNNNNNNNNNNNNNNNNNNNNNNNNNNNNNNNNNNNNNNNNNNNNNNNNNNNNNNNNNNNNNNNNNNNNNNNNNNNNNNNNNNNNNNNNNNNNNNNNNNNNNGGAGCACCCCGCGGCGCCGCACCGCCCCGCGUCAGUGCGACCCGAGAGGAGAAAGGCCAGGGGCCGCCGCCGCCAGCGCCGCCCGGGCCAGGCCCAGCGCCGGACGCCAGCGACGGCGGCAAGGAGGGAGGGAAGGGGGAGAGCUCGGGGGCGAGGUGUUGGGGAAUCACCCCUCAUUUCAGUCUUGCUAACUUCAGUUGUAAACAAAACUGAAACAAUACUCAAACAAAAUUCAAUUAUUAAAUUGAAACUGAAACUUGUUGUAUACUCCUAAAUUUAGUACUGAAAAUGAAACUUGGUGUGAAACUGAAACUUGUUGUAUAUUGAGACAAAUAUGAAUAACUAAUGUUGUGAAACUGGAACUGAUGACCCAUAAGUAUAGGGGAUUAAUCGUAGUUUUUUCGAUAAGAUUGUCGAAUCUAAUGAGGAGCAGAAGAAAAUGAUAAGCGGUUUUCAGCAAAGUAUUCUCUGCAAGUGCCAAAAACAGUAGCUUUGCUAGGGACACAGGUGUUUGAUAGCAAGGUGUUUCGCAACAAAUAACAAGUAAUAAUAGUAACAAAGGUGCAGCAAGGUGGCCCAAUCCUUUUUAUAGGAAAGGACAAGCUGAAAGUACUUCUUAUAUUAAGCAAAGCAUUCCUGAGGACACAUGGGAAUUCUCGUCUAGUCACGUUUAUCAUGUUUAGUUGAUUCGCAUUCACUACUUUGAUAAUUUGAUAUGUGGGUGGACUGGUGCUAGGGUGCUAUUCUUACUUGAACAAGCAACCCUCUUAAGAUUACCACCUCUCGCAAGCAUUCGCAACUACAAAAGAAAAAUUAAGAUAAAUCUAGUCAUAGCAUAAAAUAUAUGGAUCCAAAUCAGCCCCUUACAGAAUAACGCAUAAACUAGGGUUUAAGCUUAUGUCACUCUCGCAACCCAUCAUCUACUUAUUACUCUCCAAUGCCUUCCCCUAGACCCAAACAUGGUGAAGUGCCAUGUAGUCGAUGUUCACACACUGGUACGUGUCGGUGCUAUACAAACGGUUUUUUAACCCCUUUCCGCGACGGCAUUUGGAACCGUCGCCUAGUGAGUGUGAGCGAUAGGGGGGCCUUCCCACACGACCCAGAAACCAUCGGGGAUAUGCCCUCCUAGCACACACGCUCGGCAAAAUGAGGUCAUGUGCGACCGGCGAGCGCUCAAAUACGAAAAUACAUACAGUAGAGCUAAAAAAUACAAUUAUACAGGCGAAAUUGUUUCUGGUCGCAAGUACAUCCCACACUGUCAGUCCCCGCUAAACGUUUCCAUUAGUAUGUACAUCCCACACAGUCGCUCCAAGGAAAACAUUUUUGUUCACAGGUACAUCACACACAAUUUUUCCCGUUAAAUCGUUUGCGUUAUUAAAUGUAUCACACACGGUCCAUAGAAGAAACCAUGUGGCAAAGGCUGUCCAUCACACACAGUUUUUAUGUGGUAAACGUUUGCGCAAGGUGGCCUAACGAAAAUAGUUUUCAAGAGAAAAUCGUGUGUGAUUGUUUAUUGAUCCAACACGGUUUAUUCCUAGAAACUGUGUGCGUGGCUGAGGUCAUCGCCCACGGUAUUUUUUCAAUAACCGUUUGCAAUAUCAAAACCUAAUUAGCAGGCUAAUUGCCCUAUUAUUAAUAAUCCAUUUAUUAAUCUAAUUGACAUUCAUAUUAAGCACAUAAUAUAUUUCAUUUCCAUAUUAAGGAAGCAGAAUUUCAUAAUUGAAAUACAUCAGAGUACAACAUGAUAUAGCUUCAGCACCCAGCUACCCCAUUACACAACUGCACCAGCACCAAGUUUCACAUGCAACACGUAGAACCUUUCGAAAUUAGCAUCAUAAAUGGUAUAUAGACAAAUGCAUCUCAUCUGGAAAACUGCUGAAGCGGAAGGCGAAUAUUGAGCCUUCAUUCAUUUUGAAGGUCUUUGCAACUUUAGGCCAGUGCCUGUGGAUGAUUGACCGUCCGUCCUUCGUCCUCUUCAGGAACACUUCAAUAUUGAACCGUGGGUGUUGUAUGAAAACCUUCCUCGCCUCCUGACCAUAGAGGUGGUUUGAGAGGUAAUCAUCAGUGAACUGCUUUGGAAAGGCCUGAAAACAAGGAUGUGCAUAAAUAUCUUCUCUAUAUUGGAAAUGGGGCAAAAAAAAAGGCAAGGUAUAAUAGUUAGUACCAUCUUGUAGUGAACUGAUGUCUUCUUCAUUGUGCAGACAAAGAUCUUGUUGUUUUUUGUCGCUAAUUUCUUUAUCCUAACAAUCUUUCUGAGUUUCUUGAUUUGAUUGAUAUUCAUGGACAACUCAUUUCCCCAUAUGCAAAAAUUGUCGAACAGUGGGUCAAAACCUCUGACAGCAGGACCUACAUGUGCAAGACCAAAUUGUUAAAAACCUAAAUAUUAGAAUGGUUCCUGCAAUUGCACAAUAAUGUGCUAUUAGACAACGGACCAUGCACGUGCUAAUCUCGAUUGUAAACCUCAGUGUUUCCCAUUGUUUCCCUGCAACACAUAUAAGAUAGUUAGUCAUCAGGUUAAGUAAGGGUUCGCAUGCUAUCAGUAAAAUAUGUUGAUGAAAAAUAAGCACAUUGCAGAUUAAUCGGAUUAAUUCAAGCCACAUGGAAAAACAAUUUAUCCAAACCAAGCAAGAUUAAGAACUAGGGAAUAUAGCACUUGUAUAUGUUUCUCAUGUAUUAAGUGCAGCCAAACUCGAUUUAUUCCUCACAUGCACAAUAAUACAAAAUUCUACCCACGACAAUUGGACAUCGCAUUGCAGAAUUGAACCAAGUAGUUAACUAAACACCACAACAAAUGAACCAAACAUUAACCGAGCACCACAUUGCACAAUAUAACAUACUCCUAAUAGAAGAUCGGACAGUUAACCAAACAGUUAACUACAACCAAUUGUAGCAAUUGUAUUUGUUUCUCAUGUAUUUACUACAGCCAAAUUCAAUUUAUUCCUCACAUGGUAUACAAUAAUAGAAUGCACUCACAACUAUUGAACAUCGCAUUGCAGAAUUGAACCAAAUAGAUAACUAAACACCACAACACAAAUGAACCAAACGUUAACUGAGCACCACAUUGCACAAUGUAUAACCAAACCAAGCAUGCUUGACAACUUGGAAAUAUAGCAAUUGUAUUCGUUUCUCAUAUAUUUUGUAAAGAUAAAUUUGAUUUAUUUCUCACAUGGAAGACAAUACAAAAUUGCAACCUGAAGAAUUGAACAUCACAUUUGCAGAAUUAAACCAAAUAGUUAACUGAAGACGACACCUAAUUAACAGAACAGUAAUAAGUGAGCACCACACUGCACGACAUAUAAAACAUAUACACUAAAGCAACAGAUUGGAUGGUAAAAUUAGAUAGCACAAUUCACUAGAAUUUGUGAAGGAAAGGUAGGAGCAGCACACGCAACGGGUAAACCGAGCAUGCUUAACCGGCGUAGCUAGCAAAUGGCAAGGUGCUCCUCCAAGAUCUGGGGGUUGGCACGAAUGGCAGCCAUCGCGACCUCAUCCGCGUGUGCGGCCGUGAUUUGCUUCUCCGCUGCCAAAUGCUCCUUGAGAUCCUGGCUAUAGUGCGUGCACCAUGGCUUAGGGCGGCGCUUAUUUGGUGGAGGGGUCGGUGAUUUGGGUGGAAGGUGCCACGCUCGCGCCGGCGGUCGGGGCAUGUGGGAUGUGGAAGGAGGAGGAGGAUGGGGGUCGGGUGUGGAUUACCUGCCUGGAUAGACGAGGCCGAGCAGCGUGAAGGAGGGUCGCCGAUGAGGAGCGGCGCUGCAAGCAAGGAGUGAAGGUUUCAACUUGAAAAGGAAGGCAGAAAUAGGGGAAAUGUGGCUUUUGGUAAUGGGGAGGGGGCGGGGAGGUAGAUAUUUCCGCAGAAGCCAAAAAUUUGGAACCGCUUCAGCGAAAAAACUGGCGCGCAAAGUGUCAUCAAACACGGUCCCUUAUCCAGAACUGUGUACGAUAUGUGAACAUCACAAACGAUUCAGAUAGCUUAACCCGUGUGUGUUGAGUUUGAAUGUCAAAAAUUUUGGUUCAAAUUUCCAUGGUUACAGUGGUCAUCCACGCCAUUGCAUAAUUUGGGUACACAAAGGAGACUACAGCACACCCACACUUCUUAAUCAAGCAAGUUCAGCAAUUAAACAGAGCUAGCUGACCUAAACAUUACUCUAACAAAUUAAAGACCGUCGCUCUUAAUUAAAAAAACAAAGAGUACUACUACGGCUGGUGCUCGUCGAUCUCCGCCGCCGCCUCCAUGUCCAGCUCGCGCCCGACGGUCUCCUGGGGAAGGGGCUCCAUGGCAUCCAUCGCACCAUACUCGACAAGCAUCUCGCCAUCCGCGUCCACCAUCUCUUUGGAAAAUGCCGCCACGAGCUGGGCGUGGGCGGAGGCGAUCUGGGCUUGGAUGGGCUCCGUCGUCGCAAGGUAUGCGGUGGAGGAACGGACAGCUGCUCGAACGCCCUCGGCGAUUGCCAGCUCUUCGGCCGUGGGUUGCCGACCGUUUCGGAGAAGCUUUGUUCGAUUUGUGCAGUGACCGCCAGGAGCUGGGCAUGGGCGGCCUCGACAUGGUCGUGGGAGGCCUCCAUCAGGGCUAAGGCCGCCGCUGCGGAAUGGACAACUGUUGUGCCGCUCUCGCCAGUUGCUAUCCCCGAGGCAGAUGUUGCUGCCGCCACCUGAGAAGCAACAGCGGCCGUUUGGGCUGCCUUUGCCGCCCGGUUGCAUAUUGCGGGCCAUGCUCAUGCACCUUGUUAGCGGCUGCGGCCGCGCUCUCGCUGGAGUGGGCCACCAAAGUUGCCCUCACGACGCGGGUCCACGUGCCCAUCUUUCACCGGCGAUGAUUGAACAGUGAAAUGAUAUUUGGGGAGCGAGCUAGUGUGCUUGAGAUGCCGGCUAUGGACUGUAGCCGACGCACCUUCUCGCGUAAGCCAUAGGCAUACUAUACACCAACGGUGCUCCAGGAUAUUUUGUGAUGCAUCUCACACGGCUGGUGAUAAUAAACUAUGUGCGAUCUACUUGAUUUUUCAUCUUGAUUUGAAUUACAUAAUGGGGUCACAGCGGCAAUCGACGGUGUUUGAAUUGCUAGACCUUUUAUCUGCAGUGAACAUGCAACUAUAUGUGUGUCGUAAAAUAAUUGGAAUUAUUCAGGGUUCGUUUGAACAUUUUAUACAUUAAAUUGGUUUUCUAGCCAUUUCUGGUGCACAAUUCAAAAUUAAACUACAUGCACAUGCUCCGGUGCACCAACAUGGGUUGUAAAAUCAUAUAUGUGUCCAUGGGUUUAUGCUUAUCUCCCAUGCAAGAAAUGGGGAUGAAAUUCGAACACCACGGCACCGUGGCUCUCCGGCAAACGUCGACGUACUUGCUUUUGUAAUUCUACUAAAUCCAAAAUUCGUCUGAAAUUCAUGAAACUUGGCAUGCUAUCAUGGAGUGGCAUCAACAUGCCGUGGUAAAUUUUUUGUCCCAUUUGGGGCAGGUUUGGGUAUAAGCUUCUCAUAAACCAGAGCUUCUCACAACAAGUGUGAUGGUUUCGGUAGGGAACGUUUCACCUUUCUGGACGAAACGUUAUCCAUUGCCUCUUCUCGAUUUCAAUUUUUUUUCCUAGUGUCAACAUAGAACAACAGGAAUGUUGUGUCAAUUUUUGGGAUUUUUUGGGGUUUGCUUGGACAUUUUUAUACAUUAGCUGAGUUUUCUAUGCAUUCAUGUGCAUAAUUCAAAAUUGAACUACAGGCACAUGCUCUAAUACAUAUAAAUUAGUUAAAAAUUCAAAUAUGUGUCCUAGGUUGCCUGCUUAGGUCCCAUGCAAGAAAUGGGAAUGAAUGUCAAACACCCUUCCACCGUCACUCGGCCGCAAACAUUGAGAUACCUGGUUUUCAAAUUCUAGUAAAUCCAAAACUCAUCUGAAAUUCAUGAAACUUGGCAUGCUAUCAUGGAGCGGCAUCAACAUGUCAUGGUAAAAAAAUUGUCCCAUUUGGGGCAGGUUUGGGUAUAUGCUUCUCACAAACCAGAGCUUCUCACAACAAGCAUGAUGGUUUCGGUAGGGAACGUCCCACCAUUGGGGAUGAAACGAUAUCCAUUGCCUCUUAUUGCUUUCAAAAAAUUUCUCAUGUCAACAUAGAACAACAGGUGUUGUGUCAAUUUUUGUGAUUUUUCGGGGUUCGUGGACAUUUUUGUGCAUUAACUGAGUUUUCAAUGCAUUUAUGUGCAUAAUUCAAAUUUGAACAACAUGCACAUGCUCCAGUGCAUAUAAAUUGGAUGAAAAAUCAAAUCUGUGUCCUUGGGUGCAUGCUUAGGUCCCAUGCAAGAAAUGGGAAUGAAUUUCAAACACCAGGGCACCGUUGAUUGCUGGCAAAACGUUGAGAUACUUUAUUUUUAAAUUCUAGUAAAUCCAAAACUCGUCUGAAAUUCAUGAAACUUGGCAUGCUAUCAUGGAGCGGCAUCAACAUGGCGUGGUAAUUUUUUUGUCCCAUUUGGGGCAGGUUUGGGUAUAUGCUUCUCACAAACUAGAGCUUCUCACAACAAUCAUGAUGGUUUAGGUAGGGAACGUCCGAGCUUUGGGGACGAAACGAUAUCCAUUGGCUCUUAUUGCUUCCAAAAAAUUUCUCGUGUCAACAUAGAACAACAGAAGUGUUGUGUCAAUUUUUGUGAUUUUUGGGGUUCGUUUGGACAUUUUUAUGCAUUAACUGAGUUUUCAAUGCAUUUAUGUGCAUAAUUCAAAUUUGAACUACAUGCACAUUCUCAAGUGCAUAUAAAUUGGUUGAAAAAUCAAAUCUGUUUCCUUGGGUGCAUGCUUAGGUCCCAUGCAAGAAAUGGUAAUGAAUUUCAGUCACGAGGGCACAGUUGAUUGUCGGCACAACAUUGAGAUACCUGGUUUUUAAAUUCUAGUUAAUCCAAAACUCGUCUGAAAUUCAUGGAACUUGGCAUGCUGUCAUGGAGCGGCAUCAACAUGCCGUGGUAAAAUUUUUGUCCCAUUUGGGGCAGGUUUGGGUAUAUGCUUCUCACAAACAAGAGCUUCUCACAACAAGCAUGAUGGUUUCGGUAUGGAAUGUCCCACCUUUGGGGACGAAACAAUAUACAUUGCCUCUUAUUGCUUUCAAAAAUUUUCUCGUGACAACAUAGAACAACAGGAGUGUUGUGUCAAUUUUUGUGAUUUUUCGGGGUUCGUUUGGACAUUUUUAUGCAUUAACUGAGUUUUCAAUGCAUUUAUAUGCAUAAUUCACAUUUGAACUACAUGCACAUGCUCCAGUGCAUAUAAAUUGGUUGAAAGAUCAAAUCUGUUUCCUUGGGUGCAUGCUUAGGUCCCAUGCAACAAAUGGUAAUGAAUUUCAGUCACCGGGGCACCCUUGAUUGCCGGCACAGCAUUAAGAUACCUGGUUUUUAAAUUCUAGUAAAUCCAAAACUCGUCUGAAAUUCAUGAAACUUGGCAUGCUAUCAUGGAGCGGCAUCAACAUGCCGUGGUAAAUGUUUUGUCCCAUUUGGGGCAGGUUUGGGUAUAUGCUUCUCACAAACCAGAGCUUCUCACAACAAGCAUGAUGGUUUCGGUAGGGAACGUCCCACCUUUGGGGACGAAACGAUAUCUAUUGCCUCUUAUUGCUUUCAAAAAAAAUUGUGUCAACAUAGAACAACAGAAGUGUUAUGUCAAUUUUUGUGAUUUUCAGGGUUCGUUUGGACAUUUUUAUGCAUUAACAGAGUUUUCAAUGCAUUUAUGUGCAUUCAAAUUCGAACAACAUGCACAUGCUCUAGUGCAUAUAAAUUGGAUGAAAAACCAAAUCUGUGUCCUUGGGUGCAUGCUUAGGUCCCAUGCAAGAAAUGGUAAUGAAUUUCAAUCACUAGGGCACCGUUGAUUACCGGCAAAACGUUGAGAUACCUGGUUUUUAAAUUCUGGUAAAUCCAAAACUCGUCUGAAAUUCAUGAAACUUGGCAUGCUAUCAUGGAGUGGCAUCAACAUGCCGUGGUAAAUUUUUUGUCCCAUUUAGGGCAGGUUUGGGUAUAUGCUUCUGACAAACCAGAGCUUCUCACAAUAAGCAUGAUGGUUUCGGUAGGGAACGUCUCACCUUUGGGGACGAAACGAUAUCCAUUGCCUCUUAUUGCUUUCAAAAAUUUUCUCGUGUCAACAUAGAACAACAGGAGUGUUGUGUCUAUUUUUGUGAUUUUUCAGGGUUCGUUUGGACAUUUUUAUGCAUCAACUGAGUUUUCAAUGCAUUUAUGUGCAUAAUUCAAAUUUGGACAACAUGCACAUGCUCCAGUGCAUAUAAAUUGGAUGAAAAAUCAAAUCUGUGUCCUUGGGUGCAUGCUUAGGUCCCAUGCAAGAAAUGGGAAUGAAUUUCAAACACUAGGGCACCGUUGAUUGCGGGCAAAACGUUGAGAUACUUUAUUUUUACAUUCUAGUAAAUCCAAAACUCAUCUGAAAUUCAUGAAACAUGGCAUGCUAUCAUGGAGCGGCAUCAACAUGCCGUAGUAAUUUUUUUGUCCCAUUUGAGGUAGGUUUGGGUAUAUGCUUCUCCCAAACCAGAGCUUCUCACAACAAUCAUGAUGGUUUAGGUAGGGAACGUCCCAGCUUUGGGGACGAAACGAUAUCCAUUGCCUCUUAUUGCCUCCAAAAUUUUUCUCGUGUCAACAUAGAACAACAGGAGUGUUGUGUCAAUUUUUGUGAUUUUUCAAGGUUCGUUUGGACAUUUUUAUGCAUUAACUAAGUUUUCAAUGCAUUUAUGUGCAUAAUUCAAAUUUGAACUACAUGCACAUGCUCCAGUGCAUAUAAAUUGGUUGAAAAAUCAAAUUUGUUUCCUUGGGUGCAUGCUUAGGUCCCAUGCAAGAAAUGGUAAUGAAUUUCAGUCACCAAGGCACCGUUGAUUGCCGGCACAACAUUGGGAUACCUGGUUUUAAUAUUCUAGUUAAUCCAAAACUCGUCUAAAAUUCAUGAAACUUGGCAUGCUAUCAUGGAGCGGCAUCAACAUGUCAUGGUAAUUUUUUUGUCCCAUUUGGGGCAGGUUUGGGUACAUGCUUCUCACAAUCCAGAGCUUCUCACAACAAGCAUGAUGGUUUCGGUAGGGAACGUCCCACCUUUGGGGAUGAAACGAUAUCCAUUGCCUGUUAUUGCUUUCAAAAAAUUUCUCGUGUCAACAUAGAACAACAGGAGUGUUGUGUCAAUUUUUGUGAUUUUUCAGGGUUCGUUUGGAUAUUUUUAUGCAUUAACUUAGUUUUCAAUGCAUUUAUGUGCAUAAUUCAAAUUUGAACUACAUGCACAUGCUCCAGUGCAUAUAAAUUGGUUGAAAAAUCAAAUCUGUGUUCUUGGGUGCAUGCUUAGGUCCCAUGCAAGAAAUGGGAAUGAAUUUCAAACACCAGGGCACCGUUGAUUGCCGGCAAAACGUUGAGGUACCUGGUUUUUAAAUUCUAGUAAAUCCAAAACUCGUCUGAAAUUCAUGAAACUUGGCAUGCUAUCACGAAGCGGCAUCAACAUGCCGUGGUAAAUUUUUUGUCCCAUUUGGGGUAGGUUUGGGUAUAUGCUUCUCACAAACCAGAGCUUCUCACAACAAGCAUGAUGGUUUCGGUAGGGAACGUCCCACGUUUGGGGACGAAACGAUAUCCAUUGCCUCUUAUUGCUUUCAAAAAAAUUCUCGUGUCAACAUAGAACAACAGAAGUGUUGUGUCAAUUUUUGUGAUUUUUGGGGUUCGUUUGGACAUUUUUAUGCAUUAACUGAGUUUUAAAUGCAUUUAUGUGCAUAAUUCAAAUUUGAACUACAUGCACAUGCUCUAGUGCAUAUAAAUUGGUUGAAAAGUCAAAUAUGUGCCCUUGGGUGCAUGCUUAGGUCCCAUGCAAUAAAUGGGAAUGAAUUUCAAACAGCAGGGCACCGUUGAUUGCCGGCAAAUCGUUGAGAUACUUUAUUUUUAUAUUCUAGUAAAUCCAAAACUCGUCUAAAAUUCAUGGAACUUGGCAUUCUAUCAUGGAAUGGCACCCGACAUGCUGUGGUAUUUUUCAUGUCCAUUUUGAGAGAAGGCGCACUCGAAUAAUGACAACCAACAAAGGUAUUUUGAAAAGAUAGCUGCCACUUUAAUAUCUCAAACGUUUGUAUAAUUCAAACCGUGUGCGUUCUGUUAACCAUUCACGUGACGCCACGUGUUUUGGUUUUAAUGGCCAUAGGAGGUGCCCUGCGGACAGCUGCUUGACCUUGACUGAACGAGAGGCGUGCAAGCACAGUCCGGUGCGCAGGCUGACCGAGAGGCGUGCAAGCUGUCCUCGAAUGCGCAGGCUCACCGGGAAGCGUGUGAGCUGUACGCUAUGCAGGCUCACUAGGAAACGGGCCCUUUGACUUCCAUGGUCGCCCGCCUUCCUCUCCGUGCGCGCGCCCCCCUCAGCGGCAUGGGACGCCACCGUCGAACUCUACCUCUCAGCGCCACCAGCUGCCGUCCUCCCGCGCCCCGCCCGUCGACCCCGGGACGACAUGAUGCAAAGUGAGAGCAGGAUUUGUGCAUCUCCUCAACGCAAACAGUUUUUUUGGAUGACCCGUGUGCAACCACUUACAAACAAUUUGGUGCGAUUUGCAUCUAUCAUAUUGGGUAUGUUACCAUUUGUCAAACUGGAAAGAUUGACAUUUGUUGAUCUAGUAACAUUGCCAUUUGUCAACCUUGUAAUACUGUGAUUUGUCAAAAUAUGAAGCUAAAAAUCACUAGCAGUAUCUAAUUUUUGCAACUAAGAUUCAGUAAUUAAGCAUAGAUUUCAUUCAUAGAUUAAGUAGUCGUUCUUAAUUUAUACAAACAGUUCAACUCGACAGCUGAACCGACCAAACUUUUCCCUAAUUGUUGCCAACCACGUACUGAACUAGCUAGUUCAACUAUAUAUAUACUAGCUAAUUUUAAGUACGUUGUAUAGUUCCACCACAUCUAUAGUCAGAUGAACUAAACAAAAUAGCCCCUAAAUUAUACUACUACUACUGCGGAGGGGCUCUGUAAUACUUUCGGCUGCCUCUCCUCUGCCGAGCGCGCUCAGUAAGAGGCGGCGGAGGAGGAGCCUACCGAUGAGCUGGGCAACCGCAAUACGGUGCAUGCCGCUGUUGCAACUUCAGCGAUGCUCACCUCGAACGCCCUCUACCGCUCCAGGUGACCCCUCUCGAAGCGGUGGUUCUCCUCAUAGAUCUCCUGAUUCCUCGCCUCUGAGGCGGCGUAUGCCGCGGCCAUGGCGGCGGUAAGGCUCUUUGCAUGCUCGACGAGGCGCUCCUCCUCCUCCCGUAGGAACUCGGUGUAGCGCGCAAGGUCGCUGGCGCACGUGCGGGCAUCCACCUCCGCCUCCCGCCUUCGGGCGGCAGUGGCGGAGCGGGUGAUGACCCCGGUGGUCGACGGUGGGCUGGCGGCCACAGCGGCCGACGACGGGGUGGCGGCCACGACCACCACCUCCCGCCUUCGGGCCGCGGUGGCGGAGCGGGUGAUGGCCACGGUGGCCGGCAGUGGGGCGGCGGCCAUGAUGGCCACCUCCCACCUUCGGGCCGCGGCGGCGGAGCAGGCGAUGGCCCUGGCUUUCGACGGUGGUGUGGCGGCAACGGCGGCCGGCAACGGCGGCCGGCAACAGCUGCCGACGGGCACCGGCGGCGGAGCGUGUGGUGGGUGUUCCGCGCACACCCAACAGGGACACCACAUGCACUACACUACGCCGGGGACUGCGCCACUUCCGCGGUGUAGCCUCCCAGCUGGAGCUGUCCUCUGAUGUGGGCGGAGUGGCUGAGCGACGACGACGGACCGGUGCCAUUGGCGAUUGUGGGAGAAGCAGACGAGAUAAGCUACAGGGAGGAAGGGAAAAUGCGAUGUAGGACUCGCCGGGCGUGAGGGUUUUUAUAGCAGGCCACUAAGCAUUGGGAUUUGGGGGGAUUUCACCGAGUCGGGCGGGAAGCUUGCGCAGGAACCUGCGAGGUUGCGCGGGAACGGGCUCACGGACGAUUCAUUAGCGUCACCAUUUGGCCAAAAGAACGCCCCCGCGCGCUGCGCAAGCUUGCGCUGUAAGCCGUCUGCGGCAGCGGGGUGACAAGACGUGCGAGAGGAGGAUGAAAGGCCACGUACACAUACGGUUAAUAAAAAAACGUUUGCGAUUUAAUUACCUACUAUACCCCCGUCUUGGUUUAUAAGUAUGAUUUAACUAAUAAAAUACAAAUGCAUGUCGCCAAAGAUUAUAUAGUUGGAUUCGUAUUUGAACAUAGUUUCCAAUUAUAUAAUUUUUAUAACAUGCAUUAACAUUUUGUUGGUUAAAUUUGAGGGCAAAGUAUGGCACAAAAUAUAAAGGGGACUAUAGACCAGACGGAGGUGGCAGCACACGGACGCUCUCUAUGCAGCGAUGCAACUGUCGGACGGCUUGUAGGCGACCAUUUCCUGCGUGUUCAACUGCUCUAUGCGUGUGGUUGCUUGCGGUUCAGGCGGCCGCGGCGCACUCUGCUCGCGUCCCGCCGCGCGUGCUCUGCUCUCGCGUCCCUCCGGGUGCUCUGCCCUCGUCCCUCCAUGCACUCUACCAGUGUUUGGGGCCGGCACACGAUCACGUAUGUUCGUGUGCAUGCGGUUGCGCCAGACGCGGCGCGACGAUGCAGUUACCCGCUGCAAAAACUGCCAUGCGGACGCGCCGAUAAUCCAUGCCGCCCGGCCCCCUUUUAUUUCUGCGGCCAUUUACCUUCAUCUCUCGUCUCACACGACAGAAUAAGCACACCCACGAGGACACAUACAGAGAGGAGAUCCAGCUGUUCCAAUGGCGCUCCCCGUGGCUCCGAUGGCGCUCCCAGCGGCCGACGACGACAACGGCGGGCAGUUCACCAUGCAACACAUCGUGGACACCCACGUGAGGGGGAAGGCUCUCUUGGUGGUGUACAUGAACGAUCCGGUCUCGGUGGAGAGCUCCAUCCAAACUAUGGAGCAGUUCCUUGCCGAGGACAAGUACCAAGUGGUCGGCUUCGACCUCGAGUACACCAUGGGUCGUGCCGGGCAUGAUCAGAAGGUUGUCGUCAUCCAGUUGUGCGUGCGACAUGACGUCCUCGUCUACCACUACCACCUGGCCACAACGCCUUGCAAGCGUUUCUCCAGGUUUAUCAACAGUUCCGACUACAAUUUCGUUGCGGUGGACACCACCAACGAUCUAAAAGCGCUCAAGGUUUCGGGCUUGAAAUGCCCGAAUCUUGUCAACAUCCAGUGCCACUACAAGGUCUGGGGCAGCGACAAAAACAAACUGAACUCCCUGGUUGACCUCGCCUCGGCCAUCAUCGACCCCUACUACAUGAAGAUGAAGAAUGAGAGCAAUAAGGACAAGAACGCCUGGCAUUGUGUGUGGCAUGAGAGACUGGAUGAACAACAUGUCAAGUACGCGGCCAUGGACGCGUACACAAGCUACGAGAUGUACAGGCGGAUCGUUGACAUGAGGAACUAUCUUCUUCCUGACCCAGACGAGGGAUCGAGCCACGUAGCAGUGGCGGGAGCAUCACAAGAAGUAGAUGACUAGACGAUCGUUUCUCCUACUUUAGAAUGCAUGCAAUUGUUUAUUGAGGUGUGUGCGAAUGAUCUGUAUAGUCAAUUAUGUAAUUGGAUGUUUAUUUCAGUUAUAUAUAUAUACACACACAUGUUAUUCUACUGUAGACAGAGCAAAUCACACGGCUUAUUAGCAGCAAUCAUUUGUGUUAUUAUUGGUCUUCGCACACAUUUCUGAUUACGGACCUGUUUGCCGCGUAUCACACAUAUCUUCUUUAGUCGAACCGUUUCCAUUGUGUUGUCUAAUCACACACAGUUCAUCCUAGUGAACCGUAUGCUGUAUAUCGCACACGCCUUCAUCUGGCUGCCCAUUUCUUUUGUUCCUCCUCAUCCCAAACAGUUAAUUGAACUGAACUGUAUGCCCUGCAUCGCACACGCAACUAAAAUCUGAACCAUGUUUGAUGCAUCCGUCAUCGUAAACGUUUUGCACCUUUUUUAUGGUUUUUUACACCACUGUUUGCCAUUAUGGCAUCACACACAAUUUUGUCGAAGGGUCUCUGAUCGUAGUGUCGCGUUUGGACCAUCCUGCAGUAGUGACACGACACCACUAGAGGAAGAAUAACGUGCAUAUCUCAAAAUAUUGAAUGAAUACCAACUUCACAUGAUUACUUAUAACAAGACUUCUUCCAUGUCCUCAAGAACAAAGGGAACUACUCACAAAUCAUAUUUGUGUUAAAGAUCAAAGGAGUAUUGUAUAUGAUUAAGGAUUUGAACAUAUAAUCUUCCACCAAAUAAACCAACUAGCAUCAAGUACAAGAUGUAAUCAACAUUACUAGUAGCCCACAGGUACUAAUCUAAGGUUUUGAGACAAAGACUGAAUAUAAGAGAUGAACUAGGGUUUGAAAGGAGAUAGUGCUAGUGAAGCUUUUGAUGAAGAUUGGUCCUCCCACGAUGAGAGGAACGUUGGUGAUGUCGAUGGCUUCAAUUUCCCCCUCCUAGAGGGAAGUAUCCCCAACGAAAUUGCUCCGCUGGAGAGGAAAGUGCUCCUGCCCAGGUUCUGCCUCGAGACGGCGGCGCUUCGUCCCGAAAGUCUUACACUUACUUUCUUUAGGGCAAAAGGCUUCAUAUAGCAGAAAGAGGGCAACAGAGGGAUGAUGUGGGCCCCACAAGGCAUCAGGGCGCGCCUUGUUGCCUUGUGGACAAUAGGUUGGCCCCCUCUGAUGGUUCUUCAUUCUAGUAUUUUUUUUAUAUUCAAUAAAAAAUCUCCAUUAAAUUUCAGGUCAUUUGGAGCUCCAUAGAAUAGCUAUAUCUGUUGUAGCUCUUUUAGGUCCAGAAUUUUAGCUGCCGGUAAUUUCCCUCUUCAUAUAGAUCUUGCAAAUUAAGAGAGAAAAAUGGCAUUAGAAUUGCAUCAUAAAGUGAAAUAAUGACCAAAAACAUUAUAAAUAACAGUAGAAAAACAUGAUGCGAAAUGGGCGUAUCAGAAAUUUGCUGUAUAUAGAGACAAAUAGGAGUAGAACCUAAAUCUUGAUGUAUACUCAGUUUAAAUUUAGUAAAACUUGUUGCAUGCUUAGUUCUAAUUUACUGAAACUUGUUGAAUAUCAAGACAAACAAGAGUAAAACCUAAAUCUUGUUGCAUACUCGGUUUUAUUUGCGGAAACUAGUUGAAUAACGAGACAAACAAGAGUAAAACCUAAAUCUUGUGAAACUGGGAUUUGUGAAACUGAUGUUACAUAAACUUGUUGUAUAAGACCUGUAAAAUUUAGUAAACUUACUUAAAAAUGCUAACAAGUUUUAAGUUUCAGUAAACUUGCUUAAAAUUCAGUUAACAGUUGCAACCAAAGUUCAGCUAACAUUUGCAAACAAAGUUUGAAUUUAUCCCCUUGAAAUGCAUUUGGAAUAUUCAGUUACUCCUUUUUCUCCUUUGCAUUGUUUUUAUUAUUGCAACAAUAUUGUUGGAGUAAAAAAAUUACAAUAAAGAAACUUACUCCUUUUUUCUCCUUUGUAGUGUUGAACAUCAAACAAGAAGAAACGUGCCAAAUGAGCACAUAUUUGUUGCUUAUAUUUCUUUGAAAGCGCUGAUUGAAGAUAGGGAAUUGAGAAAAAUGACAAAGUGCUUGUUGCUAACCUUUUGCAUACAAAUCUUAGAACUGUUGAAAGAAUAUGGAAACAAGCACAUGAUCAAAUUGCACAAGGUGAAGAAGUUGAUGCCUGACCAAAAAAGGUAGAGUAGGUCGCAAGAGAAAAUUUCUUGAACUCCCUAGGAUAUCCACAAUCCUGCUAAACAGAAGGAAAACACUUGGAACUCUUUCUAGGUCUUUGGGUGUUAGUUGUACAACAUUCCAUAGAAGGUUCAAGUGGGGGAGGUGAAGUGUCACACCAGCAGCUUAAACCCUUUACUCAACCCAGCUAACAAGAUAGCCAGACUCAAGUUUUGCAUUUUCAUGUUGGAUGAAGCAACAUUGGAAAAUGCCAGGCCUGGUUUCAUUGACAGGAGAAGGAUUAUACACAUUUAUGAAAAGUGAUUUGAUAUAUCGAGAAGGAAAUGCACCUAUUGUCUUCUUCCUGAAAAAGAAGGCCCCUUGCGCACUGUUAUAAGAACAGUAUAGGAAAGGUCAUGUUCCUAAUAGAUGUGGCCAAGCCAGGUAUGAUGAAGAUGGUUUUGUGACAUUUGAUGAUAAAAGUGGAGUUUAGGCCUUUGUGAAUGAAACCAACUAUUUCAAGAAGUCAAAAUAGGGAAAGGGGCACUUUCGAACUCAAGUCAGUUAUAGUGACUAGAAACGUUAUGAGGCAAUAUAUUUGUCAAAAGGUGGUGUCAGCUACAAGAUUUGUGCCCUAAAGAUGAUGUUAGAAAAACCAUUUUUAUCCAAUAGGACAAUGCCAGAACACAUGUUCUACCUACCGAUGAAGCUUUUCUGGAAGCUAUAGCACAAACUAACCUUGAUAUUUAGUUGAUGCAGCAACCUCCAAACUCUUCGGGCAUGAAUAUGCUAGACUUGAAAUUCUUCAGUUCUAUUCAAUCUUUGUAUGAUUACAGAGGACAUAAGACUAUUAGGGAACUAAUCAAAAGUGUCGAGGAAGAAUUCUAUAACUACGCAGUUGACAAACUGGCAAGGGUGUUCAUAACACUCUGGUCAUGUAUCGUGGUGGUUAUGGAACUUUAAGGAGGCAUGAACUACAAGAUCCCCCACAUGGAUAAAGAGAGAUUGCAAAAGGAAGGAAGUCUACCUCCUGCUUUAUCUUGUGAUGGUGAACUCUAUCGAAAAACAUUGAAAUUUAUAUGACACCACUAAUUGAGGGGAAAGAAAAGGAAAGGAAAGGGAGUAUGUAUGUGUUGUGGUGUGUAUCUUGUGUUGUGUAUUUAUAGGAAAGGAAAAGGAAAAGGAGCUUUAUCUUGUGUAUUGAUGGAGUAUGUCUUGUGUAUUUGAUGGAGUAACUGAGAGUAUUAAAAUAAUUAGAGUAAUGUGGAGUAUGUCAAUUGUGGUAAAGUAAUUGGAAUAAUUGGAUUAAUUUGGAUCAAUUGAAUAAUUUGGAAUAAUUGAAUUAGUUUGGAUUAAUUUGGAAUAUACUCCUAUAUCUUGAAAAGAAAAGGAAAGGAAAAAACAGGAGUACACCUAAAUUAUUUCCACAACAAUUAUUUGCACAGGAGUAUGAUACGCCUCCAACGUAUCAAUAAUUUUUUAUUGUUCCUGAUGUCUACUACACAACCUUCUUCUUGUAGAUGUUGUUGGGCCUCCAAGUGCAGAGGUUUGUAGGACAGUAGCAAAUUUCCCUCAAGUGGAUGACCUAAGGUCUAUCAAUCCGUGGGAGGCGUAGGAUGAAGAUGGUCUCUCUCAAACAACCCUGCAACCAAAUAACAAAGAGUCUCUUGUGUCCCCAACACACCCAAUACAAUGGUAAAUAGGUGCACUAGUUCGACGAAGAGAUGGUGAUACAAGUGCAAUAUGGAUGGUAGAUAUAGGUUUUUGUAAUAUGAAAAUAUAAAACAGCAAGGUAACUAAUGAUAAAAGUGAGCGUAAACGGUAUUGCAAUGCGUUGAAACAAGGCCUAGGGUCCAUACUUUCACUAGUGCAAGUUCUCUCAACAAUAAUAACAUAACUGGAUCAUAUAACUAUCCCUCAACAUGCAACAAAGAGUCACUCCAAAGUCACUAAUAGAGGAGAACAAACGAAGAGAUUAUGGUAGGGUACGAAACCACCUCAAAGUUAUCCUUUCUGAUCGAUCUAUUCAAGAGUCCGUAGUAAAAUAACACGAAGCUAUUCUUUCCGUUCGAUCUAUCAUAGAGUUCGUACUAGAAUAAAACCUUAAGACACAAAUCAACCAAAACCCUAAUGUCACCUAGAUACUCCAAUGUCACCUCAAGUAUCCGUGGGUAUGAUUAUACGAUAUGCAUCACACAAUCUCAGAUUCAUCUAUUCAAACCAACACAAAGUACUUCAAAGAGUGCCCCAAAGUUUCUACCGGAGAGUCAAGACGAAAACGUGUGCCAACCCCUAUGCAUAAGUUCAUAAGGUCACUGAACCCGCAGGUUGAUCACCAAAACAUACAUCAAGUAGAUCACAUGAUAUCCCGUUGUCACCACAGAUAAGCACAUGCAAGACAUACAUCAAGUGUUCUCAAAUCCUUAAAGACUCAAUCCGAUAAGAUAACUUCAAAGGGAAAACUCAAUCCAUUACAAGAGAGUAGAGGGGGAGAAACAUCAUAAGAUGCAACUAUAAUACCAAAGCUCGCGAUACAUCAAGAUCGUGCCAAAUCAAGAACACGAGAGAGAGAGAGAGAGAGAGAUCAAACACAUAGCUACUGGUACAUACCCUCAGCCCCGAGGGUGAACUACUCCCUCCUCGUCUUGGAGAGUGCGGGAUGAUGAAGAUGGCCAUCGGAGAGGGAUCCCCCUCCGGCAGGGUGCCGGAACAGGGUCCCGAUUGGUUUUUGGUGGCUACAGAGGCUUGUGGCGGCGGAACUCCCGAUCUAUUGUGUUCUCUGAUGUUUUUAGGGUAUAUGGAUAUAAAUAGGCGAAAGAAGUCGGUCAGGGGAGCCACGAGGGGCCCACGAGGGUGGGGGUGCGCCCAGGGGGGUAGGGCACGCCUUCCUGCCUCGUGGUUUCCUCGAAGCUUUCCUGACGUCUACUCCAAGUCUCGUGGAUUGCUUCCGUUCCAAAAAUAACUCUCCCGAAGGUUUCAUUCCGUUUGGACUCCAUUUGAUAUUCCUUUUCUUCGAAACACUGAAAUAGGCAAGAAAACAACAUUUUGGGCAGGGCCUCCGGUUAAUAGGUUAGUCCCAAAAAUAAUAUAAAGGUGUAUAAUAAAGCCCAUCAACAUCCAAAACGGGUAAUAUAAUAGCAUGGAACAGUCAAAAAUUAUAGAUACGUUGGAGACAUAUCAGUUCCAUGCUGUUAUAUUAUCAAUCUUGGAUGUUUUAUAAUCAUUUUAUAUCAUUUUUUGGUACUAACCUAUUGACAUAGUGCCAAGUGUCAGUUGCUGUUUUCUGCAUGUUUUUUACAUCGCAGGAAAUCAAUAUCAGACGGAGUCCAAAUGCAACAAAACUCCACGGAGAUUUUUUUUGGACCAGAAGGAACACAAUGGGCCCUGGCUGCGCCUCGGGGUGCCCCGAGGAGGGCACAACCCACCAGGGCGUGCCAGGAGGCCCAUGCGCGCCCUGGUGGGCUGUGCCCACCUCGGGUGCCCCCGGACCGCCUCUUUGCUCUAUAAAUACCCCCAAUAUUCCCAAAACCCUAGGGGAGUCGACGAAAUAUUCAUCCAGCCGCCGUAGAGUCCAGAACCACCAGAUCCAAUCGAGACACCAUCUCGGAUGGGGUUCACCGCCUCCAUUGGUGCCUCUCUGAUGAUGCGUGAGUAGUUCUUUGUAGACCUUUGGGUCCGUAGUUAGUAGCUAGAUGGCUUCCUCUCUCUCUCGCUGAAUUCUCAAUACAAUGGUCUCUUGGAGAUCCAUAUGACGUAACUCUUUUGUGGUGUGUUUGUUGGGAUCGAUGAACUUUGAGUUUAUGAUCAGAUCUAUCUUUUUAUAACCAUGAAAGUUAUUUGAGUUUCUUUGAUCUCUUAUAUGCAUGAUCUCUUAUAGCCUCGUAUUUCUUCUCUGAUAUUUGGGUUUUGCUUGUCCAACUUGAUCCAUUUAUCUUGCAAUGGUAAGAGGUGCUUUGUAGUGGGUUCGAUCUUACGGUGCUUGAUCCCAGUGACAGAAAGGGCACCGACAUGUAUGUAUCGUUGCUACUAAGGAUAAAACGAUGGGGUCUAUCUCUACAUAGAUAGAUUUUGUCUACAUCAUGUCAUCGUUCUUAUUGCAUUACUCCGUUUUUCCAUGAACUUAAUACACUAGAUGCAUGCUGGAUAGCGGUCGAUGUGUGGAGUAAUAGUAGUAGAUGCAGGCAGGAGUCGGUCUACUAAUCUUGGACGUGAUGCCUAUAUAAUGAUCAUUGCCUGGAUAUCGUCAUGAGUAUUUGGAGUUCUAUCAAUUGCCCAACAGUAAUUUAUUCACGCACUGUUUGCUAUUUUUCUCGAGAGAAGCCACUAGUGAAACAUAUGGCCCCCGGGCCUCUUUCUUAUAUUAUUUGCCUUUGUGAUCUAAUUUUCUUUUGCAUUUAUUUUUAGAUCUAUUAAACCAAAAAUACGACAAUACCUUGCUGCAUUUUAUUUCUAUUUGUUUUAUUUGGCGUUUGAACUAUCAAUCUACUACAAUUUACCUCACGUAUGUUUGCCUAUCUUGAGGCGUCGUACCCCGGAAGGGAUUGACAACCCCUUUAACACGUCAGUUUGUGAGGAUUUGUUAUCUGUGUGCAGGGGCUGUUUAUGUUGUGUUGCUUGGUUCUCCUACUAGUUCGAUAACCUUGGUUUCAUAUCUGAGGGAAAUACCUACCGCCGUUGUGCUGCAUCAUCCCUUCCUCUUUGGGGAAAUACCGACGUAGCUUCAAGCGACAUCAAAAUGAAUUUCUGGCGCCGUUGCCGGGGAGGAUCUUCAACAUAUACCAGGUUCCUAAUCAUAAAUCUCAUUUCCUCGCAAUUUACAUUAUUUGCCAUUUGCCUCUUGUUUUCCUCUCUCCCACUUCACAAAAAUUUGCCGUUUUAUUCGCCUCUCUUUUUCAUUCGCCGUUUUCUUGCCGGAUCUGUUUUUGAGUGCAAUCUUGUUGUGUAGUCAUCAUGACUCAAGAUAACACCAAGUUGUGUGAUUUCUCAAAUACCAACAACAAUGAUUUUAUCGGCACUCCGAUUGCUCCCGCCACUAGUGCGGAGUCUUGUGAUAUUAAUACUGCUUUGGUGAAUCUUGUUAUGAAAGAUCAAUUUUCCGGUACUCCUAAUGAGGAUGUCGUGUCCCAUCUUAAUACCUUCGUGGAAUUAUGUGAUAUGCAAAAGAAAAAAGAUGUGGACAAUGAUGUGGUGAAGAUGAAAUUAUUUCCGUUUUCUUUGCGUGAUUCUGCAAAAAUUUGGUUCUCUUCUUUGCCUCGCAAUAGUAUCGAUUCUUGGAAUAAGUGCAAAGAUGCUUUUAUCACUAACUAUUUUCCGCCCGCAAAAAUUAUUUCCCUUAGAACCCAGAUCAUGACUUUCAAGCAACCUGAACAUGAGCAUGUUGCACAAUCUUGGGAAAGGGUGAAAAUGAUGCUAAGGAAUUGCCCAAAUCAUGGGUUAAAUCUUUGGAUGAUCAUACAAAAUUUUUAUGCGGGAUUGAAUUUUGUUUCUCGUAAUCUUUUGGAUUCCGCUGCGGGUGGUACUUUUAUGGAAAUUACUUUGGGUGAAGCCACAAAAUUGCUUGCUAAUAUCAUGGAAAAUUAUUCGCAAUGGCAUACCGAAAGAGUCCUACUUGUAAAAAAGUUAAUUCGGUUGAAGAAAUUUCUUCUUUGAGUGAAAAAGUUGAUGCUCUUAUGAAAUUAGUUGCUAGUAAAAGUGCUCUUGUUAAUUUUAAUGAUAUGCCUUUGUCUACUUUGAUUGAGCAAAAUAGUGAUGCCAUAGAUGUGAAUUUUAUCUCUCGAAAUAAUUUCAAUAACAAUGCUUAUAGAGGUAAUUUUAAUCCUAGGACUUUUCCUAGUAAUUCCUCUAAUAAUUAUGGUAAUUCCUAUGGAAAUCAAUCUUAUAAUAAUAAUAGGAACACCUCUGAUCUUGAGAAUAAUAUUAAAGAAUUUAUCAACACACAAAAAGCUUUUAACACUUCCAUACAAGAAAAGUUGAGUAAGGUUGAUGAUUUGUCUAGAAGUGCUGAUAGAAAUUGCUCAUGAUGUGGAAAUUCUCAAGAUGAAAAUUUUUGUGCCUAAACUGGAUGAAUCAAUUAAAGCUCUUUAUUUUUCUAUGGAUGAAAGUAAGAAAAGAACCACUAUGCUUAGAGCUAAAAGAGAAUUAAAAAAAGCGUUUUCUAGUGAUUUCUUUCGCAAAAGUGAUGAAGAUCUUAAAAUGAUUGGUGUUUCUUCUAUUGAUUCCUUGUUUAGUAAAGCUAAGAUUGAUGAAAAAGGGACUGGAGAAGAGUCAACUUUAGCUAGAAGGCGUCCCGAUAUUUUGGAGGGUGAAAAUCUUGUUGAGAAAAUUGAUAAAAGUGGGUUUGAAGAGGUCAAAACUUUAGCUAGUGAUGUGCCCACUCUUUUGGAUUACAAAGACUUCAAUUAUGAUAGUUUCUCUUUAAUUGAUUAUAUUUCUUUGUUGCAAUCCAUGAUAAAUUCACCCCAUGCUUAUGAACAAAAUAAAGCUUUUACUAAACAUAUUGUUGAUGCUAUGAUGAAAGCUUUUGAAGAAAAAUUGGAAUUAGAAGUGUCAAUUCCUAGAAAAUUUCAUGAUGAGUGGGAACCUACUAUCAAAGUCAAGAUUAAAAAUUAUGAAUGUUUUGCUUUGUGUGACUUGGGUGCUAGUGUUUCUACAAUUCCGAAAUCUUCAUGUGAUGUGCUUGGCUUUACCGAUCUUGAAGAAUGUUCUUUAAAUUUGCACUUGGCGGAUUCUACUAUUAAAAGGCCUAUGGGAAAAUUAAUGAUGUUCUUAUUCUUGCAAAUAGGAAUUAUGUACCCAUAGAUUUUAUUGUUCUUGACAUUGAUUGCAAUCUGUCUUGUCCAAUUUUCUUUGGUACACCAUUUUUACGCACUAUCGGUGCCAUGAUUGAUAUGAAAGAAGGCAAUAUUAAGUUCCAUUUCCUUUGAUGAAGGGUAUGGAACACUUUUCUAGAACAAUAAUUAGGCCACCAUAUGAAUCAAUCAUGAGGGCAUCUUAUGGAUCUCGAACCAAAGAUGACAAAACUUAGAUCCUUGCUUUAUGCCUAGCUAAGGGCGUAAAACUAUAGCGCUUGUUGGGAGGCAACCCAAAGAAUAAAAUUUAUUUCUUAUUUUUGCUUUCUAUUAUUUAGUGUUAGAACAAUUAUUCUGUUAUGAUUGUGUUUUUUGUGUUUUAAUUAGUGUUUGUUCCAAGUAGAGCCAAUAGGAUCUUCUUGGGUGAUAGUUGUUUGAUCUUGCUGGAAAAAACCAGAAACUUUGCACUCACGAAAACAAUUCUCAUUUUUUAUCAGAGAGUGUUUUGGCCCUGAUUCUUUUUUCAGAAUAUUAAUAUACUAAUUACCCAGCUCUUCCUAGUUUUUUUAGAAUUUUUGGAGGUCCGGAAGUUUUUGAAAUAGUCAGAUUGCUACAGACUGUUCUGUUUUGACAGAUUCUGUUUUCUUUGCGUUGUGUGCUUAUUUUGAUGGCUCUAUGGUUUCCUUUGAUGAGUUUUUGCCAUAGAAAAGUUGGAAUACAGUAGAUAUAAUGCAAAAAAAUAUGAAUUGGUUUGGUACAGUACUUAUAGUAGUGAAUUGCUUUCUUUUACUAACGGAUCUCACGAAGGUUUUCUUGAGUUUUGUGUGAUUGAAGUUUUCAAGUUUUGGGUUAUCUUAUGAUGGAUGAAGGAAUAAAGGAUACAAGAGCCUAAGCUUGGGGAUGCCCCGGCAUCCCAAGCUAUUAUCCAAAAAUGAGCAACCAACUAAGCUUGGGGACGCCCCCGAGUGGCAUCCCUUCUUUCUUCUAACGACUAUCAGUAUUUUACUCGAAGCUAUAUUUUUAUUUGUCACAUACUAUGUGUUUUGCUUGGAGCGUCUUGUAUGAUAUGAGUCUUUGCUUGUUUUAUUUUGUGUUUUAAGUCUUGAUCCCUUGUUGGACACACCUCCAAAAUUAUGUCAUGACUUGUUAGAAUUGCUCUCUAUGCUUCACUUAAAUGUUUUAUGAGCUAUGGACUUGCUCUAGUGCUUCACUUAUAUCUUUUUGAGCAUGGUGUGCUUAGUGUUUUUGAAGAAAUUAUCUCUUGCUUCACUUAGAUUUAUUUGAGAGUUAGUAAAAUCUUCAAGAAAUUCUCUCUUGCUUCACUUAAAUUAUUUUGAGAGAAAGAAAGAAAAAUUAUGCUCAUGAUCUUCACUUAUAUUUUUUUGAGCUUAUGAAAAGCAACACAUGAAAAUUAGUCCCAAAGUGAUAGAUAUCCAAGAAGGAUAUAAUAAAAACUUUCAUGAAGAUCAUUGGACAAAAUAGACUUGAUCCUUAGUAAUAGUUUUGAGAUAUGAUGAUGUGAUAUGUGAGUUAUGUUGAUGAGUAAUUAUGCUUUAGUAAGAAUAUUGGUGUUAAGGUUUGUGAUUCCCUAUGCAAUCACGAAAGUCAAUGGUCAUGCAAUGAAAUUAUAUCCUACUUGUGGUGCAUUAUUCGGUGUUAUUUAUGCUUAAUGCUUGCUUAUGAGAUUAUCCGUUUCUUGGUUGGUCGCUCCUCAAUCUUUUGCUAGCCUUCGCUUUGCACUAAGUAUGGUCUCUACUUGUGCAUCCAAAAUCCUUUAAACCUGUUUUGCCACAUGAGUCCACUAUAUCUACCUAUAUGCGGUAUUAUUUUGCCGUUCUAAGCAAAUUUGCAUGUGCCAUCUCUAAUUUUCAAAAUAAACUUCUCUUUUGUGUGUUCGUUUCGCUCGCGGAGCGGUGAGGGGUGGCUAAUAUUUUCCAUGUUGGAUGUGUUAUUCUCACGAUGAGUGUUUAUUCACUUGUCAUUGCAUGAGAGUAAGGCAAAGGUUUUAGGGAUGCCUAGUCCCGAAAUGAAAAAAUGAAUUUACUUUAUGUUGUCAAAUAAAAAAUUCGUUGAAGUGUUAGUAUGGAGGGAAACCGUGGAUACGGCUAGCCAUGGAAAGUGAAAGUAUGGUGGAAAAAGGAAUAAACUUUAUUUUCUGUUUGGGAACCGCCUAUGAUAUAUCUAGCAUGGAAAGUGUUGGGAACUCUAAGUCGUUUUCGUUGGUGGGAUGGAUACACCUCCCAAAAUGUUUUUAUCUCUAAAUUUUUCGCUUUGAGCUCUGGCACCUCUACACAUCCCUACUUCCCUCUGCGAAGGGCCCUUUCUUUUACUUUAUGCAAUUUUUAUUUUGAGUUUGAGUCUCCAUCUUCUCUUACAAAAGCACCAACUAGGAGGCAAUAUGAUCAUACUUGAGUAUUGGGUGUAGCUAAUAUGCGAGUGUGUUUCAUGAAUGGAUCAAUGGUUGAGCAUGAUGGGCAAGGGAUAACUUAUUUUAGCAUUGAUAUUUUGAAAGACAUGGUUGCUUGUUGAUAUGCUUGAGUAUCUAAAUUAUCAUGUCAAAACUAGACUAUUGCUUUGAAUCACAUAAAAGUCCAAAUGUCCAUGCUAUAAAGAAAAGAAUAUGAUAUAACAUGUUAGGCAGCAUUCCACAUCAAAAAUUCUGUUUUUAUCACUUACCUACUCGAGGACGAGUAGGAGUUAAGCUUGGGGAUGUUGAUAUGUCUCUAACGUAUCUAUAAUAUUUUAUUGUUCCAUGCUGUUAUAUAUCAAUCUUGGAUGUUUUAUAAUCAUUUUAUAGUCAUUUCAUAUCAUUUUUUGGUACUAACCUAUUGACAUAGUGCAAGUGUCAAUUGUUGUUUUCUGCAGGUUUUUUACAUCGCAGGAAAUCAAUAUCAGACGGAGUCCAAACGCAACAAAACUCCACGGAGAUUUUUUGGGACCAAAAGGAACACAAUGGGCCCUGGCUGCGCCUGGGGGUGCCCCGAGGAGGGCACAACCCACCAGGGAGCGCCAGGAAGCCCAGGCGCGCCCUGGUGGGUUAUGCCCACCUCGGGUGCCCCCGGACCGCCUCUUUGCUCUAUAAAUACCCCAAUAUUCCCAAAACCCUAAGGGAGUCGACGAAAUAUUCAUCCAGCCGCCGCAGAGUGCAGAACCACCAGACCCAAUCUAGACACCAUCUCGGAUGGGGUUCACCACCUCCAUUGGUGCCUCUCCGAUGAUGCGUGAGUAGUUCUUUAUAGACCUUCGGGUCCGUAGUUAGUAGCUAGAUGGCUUCCUCUCUCGCGCUGAAUUCUCGAUAGAAUGGUCUCUUGGAUAUCCAUAUGAUGUAACUCUUUUGCGGUGUGUUUGUUGGGAUCGAUGAACUUUGAGUUUGUGAUCAGAUCUAUCUUUUCUAUCCAUGAAAGUUAUUUGAGUUUCUUUGAUCUCUUAUAGCCUCGUAUUUCUUCUCCGAUAUUUGGGUUUUGUUUGGCCAACUUGAUCUAUUUAUCUUGCAAUGGGAAGAGGUGCUUUGUAGUGGGUUCGAUCUUACGGUGCUUGAUCCCAGUGACAGAAAGGGAACCGACACGUAUGUAUCGUUGCUACUAAGGAUAAAACGAUGGGGUCUAUCUCUACAUAGAUAGAUCUUGCCUACAUCAUGUCAUCAUUCUUAUUGCAUUACUCCGGUUUUCCAUGAACUUAAUACACUAGAUGCAUGCUGGAUAGCGGUCGAUGUGUGGAGUAAUAGUAGUAGAUGCAGGCAGGAGUCGGUCUACUAAUCUUGGACGUGAUGCCUAUAUAAUGAUCAUUGCCUGGAUAUCGUCAUGAGUAUUUGAAGUUCUAUCAAUUGCCCAACAGUAAUUUGUUCACCCACCAUUUGCUAUUUUUCUCGAGAGAAGCCACUAGUGAAACCUACGGUCCCCGGGUCUCUUUCUUAUAUUAUUUGUCUCUGCGAUCUACUUUUCUUUUGCAUUUAUUUUCAGAUCUAUUAAACCAAAAAUACAAAAAUACCUUGUUGCAUUUUAUUUCUAUUUAUUUUAUUUGGCAUUCGAUCUAUCAAUCUACUACAAUUUACCUCAUGUCCGUUUGCCUAUCUUGAGGCGCUGUACCCCGGAAGGGAUUGACAACCCCUUUAACACGCCGGGUUGCGAGGAUUUGUUAUUUGUAUGCAGGGGCUGUUUACGUUGUGUUGUUUGGUUCUCCUACUGGUUCGAUAACCUUGGUUUCAUAUCUGAGGGAAAUACCUACCGCCGCUGUGCUGCAUCAUCCCUUCCUCUUUGGGGAAAUACCGACGUAGCUUCAAGCGACAUCAGAGUACACCUAUAUUAUUUGCACAUUAGUACUUGAUACGUCCAUUUUGCACCAUGUUUUCUUGCUGUUAUUUAUGAUGUUUUUAUCCAUAAUAAUGCUCUUGGAGUAAUUCUAAUGCCUUUUCUCUCAUAAUUUACAAGGUACACACCAAGAGGGAGAAUUUCGGCAGCUGGAAAUCUGGACCUAGAAAAGCUACGUCUGGCCACCUAUUUUGCACAACUCCAAACAAGCUGAAACUUCACGGAGAUUCUUUAUGGAAUAUUUAAGAAUUAUUGGAGCAAAUAACUACCAGAGGGGGGCCACCAGGUGGGCACAACCCACCUGGGCGCGCCAGGGAGCCUAGGCGCGCCCUGGUGGGUUGUGCUCAUCCAGGCCCACCUCCGGUGCCCAUCUUCUGGUAUAUAGGUCAUUUUGACCUAGAAAAAAUUAAGGAGAGGACUUUUGGGACGAAGCGCUGCUGCCUCGAGGCGGAACUUGGGCAGGAGGACUUUUGCCCUCCGGCGGAGUGAUUCCGCCGGGGGAACUUCCCUCCCGGAGGGGGAAAUCAUCGUCAUCAUCAUCACUAACAACUCUCCCAUCUUGGGGAGGGCAAUCUCCAUCAACAUCUUCAACAGCACCAUCUCAUCUCAAACCCUAGUUCAUCUCUUGUGUUCAAUCUUGUUACCGGAACUAUAGAUUGGUGCUUGUGGGUGACUAGUAGUGUUGAUUACAUCUUGUAGUUGAUUACUAUAUGGUUUAUUUGGUGGAAGAUUAUAUGUUCAGAUCCAUUAUGCUAUUUAAUACCCCUCUGAUCUUGAGCAUGAUUAUCAUUUCUGAGUAGUUACUUUUGUUCUUGAGGUCACGGGAGAAAUCAUGUUGCAAGUAAUCAUGUGAAUUUGAUAUGUGUUCGAUAUUUUGAUAGUAUGUAUGUUGUUAUUCCCUUAGUGGUGUCAUGUGAACGUCGACUACAUGACACUUCACCAUAUUUGGUUCUAAGGGAAUGCAUUGUGGAGUAGCAAUUAGAUGAUGGGUUGCGAGAGUGGCAGAAGCUUAAACCCCAGUUUAUGCGCUAUUCCGUAAGGGACCGAUUGGAUCUAAAAGUUUAAUGCUAUGGUUAGAAUUUAUUCUUAAUACUUUUCUCGUAGUUGCGGAUGCUUGCGGGAGGGUUAAUCAUAAGUAGGAGGUUUGUUCAAGAAAGAACAACACCUAAGCACUGGUCCACCCACAUAUCAAAUUAUCAAAGUAGCGAACACAAAUCGAACCAACAUGAUGAAACUGACUAGAUGAAAUUCCCGUGUACCCUCAAGAACGCUUUGCUUAUCAUAAGAGACUGUUUUGGCAUGUCCUUUGCCUCAAAAGGCUACCUUGCUGCACUUUUGUUACUACUAUCGUUACUUGCUCGUUACAAAUUAUCUUGCUAUCAAACUACUCUGCUACUCACAAUUUCAGCACUUGCAGACAUUACCUUACUGAAAACUACUUGUCAUUUCCUUCUGCUCCUCGUUGGGUUCGACACUCUUACUUAUCGGAAAGAUCUACAAUUGAUCCCCUAUACUUGUGGGUCAUCAUGGCUAUUUUCUGGCACCGUUGCCGGGGAGUGAAGCGCCUUUGGUAAGUGGACUUUGGUAAGGACAAAUUUAUAUAGUGUGCUGAAAUUUAUUGUCACUUGUUACUAUGGAAAACAAUCCUUUGAGGGGUUUGUUCGGGGUAUAUUCACCUCGUCCGGAACCACAAUUAGCUACCCCUCAACGUACUGCACCUACUAAAAAUAUUGAAUAUGAAAUGCCUUCGGGUAUGAUAGAACAACUGCUAGCUAAUCCUUAUGCAGGAGAUGGAACCGAACAUCCUAAUAUGCACUUGAUAUAUGUGGAAUAAAUUUGUGGAUUGUUUAAGCUUGCAGGUUUAACCAGGGAUGAAGUUAUGAAAAAGGUUUUCCCUUUAUCUUUGAAGGCAAAAUCAUUGGCAUGGUAUAGGCUAUGUGAUGAUAUUGGAUCUUGGAAUUGGAAUCGUUUGAAAUUGGAGUUCCACCAAAAAAAUUAUCCUAUGCAUCUAGUUCAUCGUGAUCGGAAUUAUAUAUAUAAUUUUUGGCAUCAUGAAGGAGAAAGUAUCGCUCUAGCUUCGGGGAGGCUUAAGUCAAUGUUAUAUUCAUGCACGAAUCAUGAGCUCUCAAGAGAAAUUAUUAUCCAGAAUUUUUAUGCUCGGCUUUCUCGUGAUGAUCAAACUAUGCUUGAUACUUCUUAUGUCGGUUCUUUUAUGAAGAAUACUAUUGAAUUCCAGUGGGAUCUUUUGGAAAGAAAUAAACGCAACUCUGAAGAUUGGGAACUUGACGAAGGUAAAGAGUCAGGUAUUAAACUUAAGUAUGAUUGUGUUAAAUCUUUUAUGGAUACCGAUGCUUUUCAAAAGUUUAGCACUAAAUAUGGACUUGACUCGGAGAUAGUUGCCUCCUUUUGUGAAUCAUUUGCUACUCAUGUUGAACUCCCUAAAGAGAAGUGGUUUAAAUAUCAUCCACCUAUUAAAGAACUGGUACCAGUUAAAGAAGAAACUAUACUUUAUAAUGUUGAUCCAGUUGUUCAUUCUGCUUAUAUAGAGAAACCACCUUUCCCUAUUAGGAUAAAGGAACAUGCUAAAGUUUCAACUGUGGUUAACAAAAGCUAUAUUAGAACACCUAAACCUGAUGAACAAAUUAAAGUAGAACCUGGCAUUGCUAUGGUUAAAUAUCUCUUGGAAGAAGAUAUAGAUGGGCAUGUUAUUUACUUCUGUGAAGAAGCUGCUAGAAUUGCCAAACCUGGUAAAAAGGAUAAACAUAGACCUAUUGUUGGCAUGCCUGUCAUCUCAGUUAAAAUAGGAGAUCACUGUUAUCAUGGUUUAUGUGACAUAGGUGCUAGUGUGAGUGUUAUUCCUUACACCUUAUAUCAAGAAAUUACGAAUGAUAUAGCACCUGCAGAAAUAGAAGCCAUAGAUGUUACUAUUAAACUUCCUAAUAGAGACACCAUAUCACCAAUUGGGAUUGUUAGAGAUGUUGAAGUCUUGUGUGGGAAAAUAAAAUACCCUACUGAUUUUCUUGUUCUUGGUUCCCCAUAAGAUGACUUUUGUCCAUUUAUCUUUGGUAGACCUUUCUUGAACACCGUUAAUGCUAAGAUAGAUUGUGAGAAACAAACUGUCGGUGUUAGUUUUGGUAAUGAGUCUCAUGAGUUUAAUUUUUCCAAGUUUAGUAGAAAGCUUCAUGAAAAAGAAUUGCCUAGUAAGGACGAAUUAAUUGGUCUUGCUUCUAUUGAUGUACGACCUACUAAUCCUUUAGAACAAUAUUUGCUAGACCAUGAAAAUGAUUUACAUAUGCAUGAAAGAAAUGAAAUAGAUAAAAAUUUCUUUGAACAACGUCCUCUGCUUAAACACAAUUUGCCUAUUGAAACUCUAGGAGGUCCUCCUCCACCUAAAGGUGAUCCUGUGUUUGAAUUAAAGCAAUUGCCAGACACUUUGAAAUAUGCUUAUCUUGAUGAAAAGAAAAUAUAUCCUGUUAUUAUUAGUGCUAACCUUUCAGAACAUGAAGAAGAAAGAUUAUUGAAAGUUCUAAGGAAGCACCAAGCUGCUAUUGGAUAUACUCUUGAUGAUUUAAAGGGCAUUAGUCCCACUCUAUGUCAGCACAAAAUUAAUAUGGAACUUGAUGCUAAACCCGUUGUUGAUCACCAACGUCGGUUAAAUCUGAAGAUGAAAGAGGUGGUAAGAGCAGAAAUAUUAAAACUUCUGGAAGCAGGUAUAAUCUAUCCUAUGGCUGAUAGUAGAUGGGUAAGUCCUGUUCAUUGUGAAGGAGGUAUAACUGUCGUUCCUAAUGAUAAGAAUGAACUUAUUCCACAAAGAAUUGUUACAUGCUAUAGAAUGGUAAUUGAUUUUAGAAAAUUAAACAAAGCAACUAGAAAAGAUCAUUACCCUUUGCCUUUUAUUGAUCAAAUGCUUGAAAUAUUAUCUAAGCACACACACUUUUGCUUCCUUGAUGGAUAUUCUGGCUUUUCACAAAUACCUGUUUCUCAACCUGAUCAAGAAAAGACCACUUUUCCUUGUCCUUUUGGAACCUAUGCUUAUAGACGUAUGCCUUUUGGUUUAUGUAAUGCACCUGCUACCUUUCAAAGAUGUAUGACUGCUAUAUUCUCUGACUUUUGUGAAAAGAUUGUUGAGGUUUUCAUGGAUGACUUUUCUGUUUAUGGGAAGUCUUUUGAUGAUUGUUUAAGUAAUCUUGAGCGAGUUUUGCAGAGAUGUGAACAAACAAACCACGUCUUGAAUUGGGAGAAGUGCCACUUUAUGGUUAAUGAAGGCAUUAUCUUGGGUCAUAAAAUUUCUGAAAGGGGUAUUGAAGUGGACCAAGCUAAGGUUGAUGCAAUUGAGAAAAUGCCAUGUCCUAAAGAUAUAAAAGGUAUUUGUAGUUUCCUAGGUCAUGCUGGUUUCUAUAGGAGAUUUAUCAAAGAUUUCUCUAAAAUUUCUAGGCCUCUCACUAGUCUCUUGCAAAAGGAUAUUCCCUUUGUUUUUUAUGAUGAUUGUUUAGAAGCCUUUGAAACACUCAAGAAAGCCUUAAUAUCUGCACCUAUUGUUCAACCACCUGAUUGGAACACUCAAGAAAGCCUUAAUAUCUGCACCUAUUGUUCAACCACCUGAUUGGAACAUGCCUUUUGAAAUUAUGUGUGAUGCUAGUGAUUAUGUUGUUGGUGCUGUUCUAGGACAAAGAGUUGAUAAAAAAUUGAAUGUUAUUCAUUAUGCUAGUAAAACUCUAGACAAUGCUCAAAGAAACUAUGCUACUACUGAAAAAGAAUUCUUAGCAGUGGUAUUUGCUUGUGACAAAUUUAGACCUUAUAUUGUUGAUUCCAAAGUAACUGUUCACACAGACCAUGCUGCUAUUAAAUAUAUUAUGGAAAAGAAAGAUGCUAAACCUAGACUUAUUCGAUGGGUUCUCUUGUUACAAGAAUUUGAUUUAGAUAUCAUUGAUAGAAAAGGAGCUGAGAACCCGGUAGCUAAUAAUUUGUCUAGGCUUGAAAAUGUGCUUGAUGACCCACUACCUAUUGAUGAUAGUUUUCCUGAUGAGCAGUUAGCUGCAAUAAAUGUUUCUCAUAGUACUCUUUGGUAUGCUGAUUAUGCUAAUUACAUUGUUGCUAAAUAUUUACCACCUAGCUUUACAUACCAACAAAAGAAAAAAAUUCUUCUAUGAUUUAAGACAUUACUUUUGGGAUGACCCACAUCUCUAUAAAGAAGGAGUAGAUGGUAUUAUUAGACGUUGUGUACCUGAGCAUGAACAGGGACAAAUCCUACGGAAAUGUCACUCUGAAGCUUAUGGAGGGCAUCAUGCUGGAGAUAGAGCUGCUCAUAAGGUAUUGCGGUCUGGAUUUUAUUGGCCUACUCUCUUCAAGGAUGCUCGUAAGUUCGUCUUAUCUUGUGAUGAAUGUCAAAGAAUAGGUAAUAUCGGUAAGCGUCAAGAAAUGCCUAUAAAUUAUUCACUUGUUGUUGAACCAUUUGAUGUUUGGGGAUUUGAUUACAUGGGACCUUUUCCUUCCUCUAAUGGGUAUACACAUAUUUUGGUUGCUGUUGAUUAUGUUACUAAAUGGGUAGAAGCUAUUCCAACUAGUAGUGCUGAUCACAACACCUCUACUAAAAUGCUUAAGGAAGUUAUUUUCCCAAGGUUUGGAGUCCCUAGAUAUUUAAUGACUGAUGGUGGUUCACACUUUAUUCAUGGUGCUUUUAGUAAAAUGCUUGCCAAGUAUGAUGUUAAUCAUAGAAUUGCAUCACCCUAUCAUCCUCAGUCUAGUGGUCAAGUUGAACUUAGCAAUAGAGAAAUAAAAUUAAUUUUGCAAAAGACUGUCAAUAGGUCCAGGAAGAAUUGGUCUAAGAAAUUAGAUGAUGCACUUUGGGCUUAUAGAACAGCAUAUAAAAAUCCUAUGGGCAUGUCUCCUUAUAAAAUGGUUUAUGGAAAAGCUUGUCAUUUGCAUCUUGAGUUAGAACAUAAAGCAUUUUGGGCAGUUAAAGAACUCAACUAUGAUUUCAAACUUGCUGGUGAAAAGAGGUUAUUUGAUAUUACCUCUCUAGAUGAAUGGAGAACCCAAGCUUAUGAAAAUGCAAAAUUAUUCAAAGAAAAAGUUAAAAGAUGGCAUGACAAAAGAAUUCAAAAGCGUGAGUUUAAAGUCGGAGAAUAUGUUCCUUUGUACAAAUCUAUUUUCAGAUUCUUUGCAGGAAAACUCCUCUCGAAAUGGGAAGGCCCACAUGUCAUCGAGGAGGUUUACCGGUCUGGAGCCAUCAAAAUAAAUAAUCCCGAAGGUACUAACCCGAAGGUUGUCAAUGGGCAACGAAUAAAGCAUUAUAUCUCAGGUACGCCCAUUAACGUUGAAAGUAAUAUUAUCCAAACUUUGACACCGGAAGAACACAUAAAAGAGUCCUUCUGGAACACUCCAGAAUCGUGAAAAUAAGGAGGUACGUGAUACGGUAAGUAAACGUACUCCGAAAAUCCACAAAAAUAGCUUGUAUCAGUUUUGGAAUAUUUAAGAAUUUUGGAAAUAAAGAAGCUUCCAGGAAGCGUCCCCUGGUGGGCACAAGACACCAGGGCACGCCAGGCUUGCCUGGCGCGCCCAGGUGGGUUGUGCCCACCUGGGACACCUUCUGGACUCCGCUUUUCUUCCGUAUGCUUGUCCCCCAAGAUAAAAAUUCUAUAUAUACUUCCCGAACCUGUUAACCUCCGUAUCAUGGAGAAAUCCUCUGUUCUCUUUUUCCUUGUUAUUUUCUGUCAGAUCCCAUCUACCAUGGCCUCUUCAAGCUCCUCCAAGGACAAGUUCUUCAAGAACGUCAUCAACCCAUAUUUGCGGGAGGUGGUGCAGUCCCCUCAAACCAUCCAGAUGCAUGAGGGGGUGUUGUACAUCCACGAUGAGCAAGGUCCCAAGGGCACGGGAACCGUGGAGGCCAGGCUUGAAGCCAUGGAGCAGGAAGUCUUCUGGUGCAAGGGGAUGGUGGAGCAUGGGAUCAAUGCCAAUCACCUCAUGAUCACGAACCUUUCCCGUGAUCUCAAGGUGGAUGGCAAGCCCAUGAAGGACAUCAUCUUCACCCUCAACGAGCAAAUCAAUUUUCUCCAAAUCCAGAUCUAUGAUCUUCAAAACCAAGUCUUUGAAUAUGAGGCGAGGUUUAAAGGUAUGAGUUUGGCUACUUGUUGCAGGACCCGUGAGACUCACUCCUCCUCUUAUGAUGGUGGACUACUGCCAUGGAAAUCCGAGGACAAGAUCUCUUCUUCAUCACCACCAUCUUCUUCACUGCCAAAAGGGAAUUGAGUAUCGGGUAUGGGCACUCCCCUUGGUUUCCGCCAAGCUUGGGGGAGGUGCCCCGGUAUCGUAUCAUCCCACCAUCUUUUUGCUUUUACUUAUCUUAGUUCGAUCUUUUGCUUUAGAUGAAUAAAAGUUUAGUUCGAUCCUUUCCUCUUUGAGAGUUUGCUUAGUGAUCUAUCCUUGUAAUCGUGUGCAAGCUAUAUAAUAAAGUUUAGUUUGAGUUUUUGCUUUCUUUACUUUCAUGUUGCAAAUAAAGAAAAGAAAUAAGAAAGGAAAAAGAGAAAGUAAAUAAAUAAAAGAAAGGAAAUAAAUCAAUAAGAUCAUAUACUAAUCCUAUGGUAGGUGAUGUCACCACACAAGGAAAAGUAUAAGUAGGAAAUUUUAUUAGAGAUUGACAAACAUAGCAUUAGUCAAUGAUGCAACUCAUGAAAGAAUUAAUAAGGGAAGAGAAGAUUCACGUAUAAAUAUACUAUCCUAGAAAUCUUUUCUGAUUGUGAGCCCUCAUCAAAAUAUUAUAUGCCAAAAUUGUUGACGUUGGACAAGGAAGACAACGUAAUGGUUUAUGUUUGUUUAUAUUCACACAGAAGUCAUAUUGUCAUAGAUCCUUCAACAUGUGGUGCUUGCCCCUAUCUUUGCUAGCCAAAAAUUCCGCACUAAGUAGAGAUACUACUUGUGCAUCCAAAAACCCUUAAACCCAAAUCCUAUUUUCAAGUGUCCACCAUACCUACCUAGGGAUUGAGCAAGAUCCCUCAAGUAAGUUGUCAUCGGUGCAAAAAGUCCAUAAAAAUUGCUUCUAAAAGUGUGAGAUCCUUUAGUGUAAGAGAAAAUUGAGCGUUGUACGAACUUGGAUGACAAAGAAUAAAAGCGACAGACUGCAUAAUAAAGGUUGUCAUCUUAAGGGGCAAUACAACGUGACGUUCUCUAGCACUAAGGGAUUGAGCAUACAAACAACUAAGAGCAUGGCAACCUCUGCUUCCCUCUGCGAAGGGCCUAUCUUUUACUUUUACGUAUUUACUUUUAUGCAAAGAGUCAAAGUUUUCCUUCUAUUCCUUUUUAUUUUUCUCCUUUGGCAAGCAUCAUGUGGUGAGGAAAGAUCUAGGCACAUAUGUCCAGUUGAAUAUAGAUAGCAUGAGUUAUUAUUGUUGACAUCACCCUUGAGGUGAGUAUGUUGGGAGGUGAAACUUUAAGCCCUAUCUUUCUAUGUGUCUGGUUGAAAUGUUUUGCUCAUGGGUACGAGGUGAGUGUUAGCAAUCAUAGAAGACGAUAUGAUGGUUGAGUAUGUGAACUUGCCUAAAGGCUCCGACAUGUGACCCUUCCUGAAAAGAUGAUGAAUUAUAGUUGCAAAGUUGACUGAGAACAUAGUUUGUUGGUUUCUAAUAGAGUUUUUGCUUUAUACUUCGAUUGUGCGAUGAACUAUUACUUAUUCAUGAGAAUCAUAUGAUAAAAGUUCUAUGAUAAAAGCCCUAUGUUUAAUUUUGUUGCUGUUAUAAUAAUCAACAUGAUGCUUCUAUGUCCGUAUUUUGUUUUUAUCGACACCUCUCUCUCAAAGCAUCUGGACAUGUUUUUCGAUUUCGGUUUUCGCUUGAGGACAAGCGAGGUCUAAGCUUGGGGGAGUUGAUACGUCCAUUUUGCAUCAUGUUUUCUUACUGUUAUUUAUGAUGUUUUUAUCCAUAAUAAUGUUUUUUGCAGUAAUUCUAAUGCCUUUUCUCUCAUAAUUUGCAAGGUACACACCAAGAGGGAGAAUUUCGGCAGCUGGAAAUCUGGACCUGGAAAAGCUACGUCAGGCCACCUAUUCUGCACAACUCCAAACAAGAUGAAACUUCACGGAGAUUUUUUGUGGAAUAUUUAAGAAUUAUUGGAGCAAAUAACUACCAGCGGGGGGCACCAGGUGGGCACAACCCACCUGGGCGCGCCAGGGAGCCCAGGCGUGCCCUGGUGGGUUGUGCUCAUCCAGGCCCACCUCCGGUGCCCAUCUUAUGGUAUAUAGGUCAUUUGACCUAGAAAAAAUAUGGAGAGGACUUUUGGGACGAAGCGCCGCCGCCUCGAGGCGGAACUUGGGCAAGAGCACUUUUGCCCUCCGGUGGAGCAAUUCCGCCGGGGGAACUUCCCUCCCGGAGGGGGAAAUCAUCGUCAUCAUCAUCACCAACAACUCUCCCAUCUUGGGGAGGGCAAUCUCCAUCAACAUCUUCAACAGCACCAUCUCAUCUCAAACCCUAGUUCAUCUCUUGUGUUCAAUCUUGUUACCGGAACUAUAGAUUGGUGCUUGUGGGUGACUAGUAGUGUUGAUUACAUCUUGUAGUUGAUUACUAUAUGGUUUAUUUGGUGGAAGAUUAUAUGUUCAGAUCCAUUAUGCUAUUUAAUACCCCUCUGAUCUUGAGCAUGAUUAUCAUUUCUGAGUAGUUACUUUUGCUCUUGAGGUCACGGGAGAAAUCAUGUUGCAAGUAAUCAUGUGAAUUUGAUAUGUGUUCGAUACUUUGAUAGUAUGUAUGUUGUUAUUCCCUUAGUGGUGUCAUGUGAAUGUCGACUACAUGACACUUCACCAUAUUUGGGCCUAAGGGAAUGCAUUGUGGAGUAGCAAUUAGAUGAUGGGUUGCGAGAGUGACAGAAGCUUGAACCCCAGUUUAUGCGUUAUUCCGUAAGGGGCCGAUUGGAUCCAAAAGUUUAAUACUAUGGUUAGAAUUUAUUCUUAAUACUUUUCUCGUAGUUGCGGAUGCUUGCGGGAGGGUUAAUCAUAAGUAGGAGGUUUGUUCAAGUAAGAACAACACCUAAGCACCGGUCCACCCACAUAUCAAAUUAUCAAAGUAGCGAACACAAAUCGAACCAACAUGAUGAAAGUGACUAGAUAAAAUUCCCGUGUACCCUCAAGAACGGUUUGCUUAUCAUAAGAGACCGUUUUGGCAUGUCCUUUGCCUCAAAAGGAUUGGGCUUCCUUGCUGCAUAUUUUUUAGUGCUAUCGCUACUUGCUCGUUACAAAUUAUCUUGCUAUCAAACUACUCUGCUACUCACAAUUUCAGCACUUGCAGACAUUACCUUACUAAAAACUACUUGUCAUUUCCUUCUGCUCCUAGUUGGGUUCGACACUCUUACUUAUCGAAAAGAGCUACAAUUGAUCCCCUAUACUUGUGGGUCAUCAGUACUCCUAUAUUAUUUGCACAGGAGAAUUUCAAGGCAUCUAAAUAUUUGCAUAAAAUGUUUUGCACACAAGGAAAAUCAAAUUGUACACCUAUACUACUCCAGCACAUCAACAACACAACGAGUACUCCUAGUCUUAUACUCCAAUGAGAGAAGCAUUACCUCAGGAGUACUGCUACUUCUGAGCUGCGUUGGGAUUUUCCUUGAAGAGGAGGGAAGAUGCAGUACAGUAGAGAUAAGUAUUUCCCUCAGUGAGAACCAAGGUUUAUCGAACCAAUAGGAGAAUCAUGCAAAGCCUCGUGAACAGCACCUGCACACACAAAAGCAAGUACUUGCACCCAACACGGGCAAGAGGGUUGUCAAUCCCCUUGAACUCGUUACUUGCAAGGAUGAAAUCUUGUAUAGGUAGAUGGAUAAAUUGCAAAACAAAAUAAAAGUAAUAAAAUUGCAACAAGGUAUUUUGGUUUUUUUAAAUAUGAUUAAAGUAGACCCGGGGGCCAUAGUUUUCACUAGAGGCUUCUCUCUCGAACACAUAGCAUAUGGUGGGUGGACAAAUUACUGUUGGGCAAAUGACAGAAAAGCGCAUAGUUAUGACGAUAUCCAAGGCAAUGAUCAUGUAUAUAGGCAUCACGUCCGAGACAAGUAGACUAACUCCUGCCUGCAUCUACUAUUACUCCACCAAUCGACUGCUAUCCAGUAUGCAUCUAUGGUAUUAAGUUCAUGAAAAAUGGAGUAACGCCUUAAGCAAGAUGACAUGAUGUAGACAAAGUAAACCCAAACAAUAUGAAUAAACCCCGUCAUUUUUAUCCAUAAUGGCAACAAUACAAAUAUGUGUCUUGUCCCCUUCUGUCACUGGGAUAUAGAGCCUGCAAGGUUGAACCCAUUACAAAGCACCUCUCCCACUAAAGAUAAAUCAAUUUAGUUGGUCAAACCAAAUAGAUAGAUAGGAGAGAAAUACAAAGCUAUAACAAUCAUGCAUAAUAAAGUUCAGAAAAGACACAGUUACUUCUCAUGAAUAUUCAGAUCAUAAACCCACAAUUCAUCGGAUCCCAACAAACGCACCGUAAAAUAAGAUUAUAUCGGAUAGAACUCCAAGAACAUCGAGGAGAACAUUGUAUUGAAGAUUAAAGAGAGAUAAAAAAACAUCUAGCUACUAGCUAUGGACCGAUAGGUUUGUGGUGAACUACACAUGCAUCAUCAGAAGACGGCAAGGAUGAUGUAGAAGCCAUCCGUGAUCGAUUCCCCCUCCGAUGGAGUACCGGAACAGGCCUCCAGAUGGGAUCGCGAAAGAACAUAAACUUGCGAUGGUGGGAAAAGUAUUUUGGGUGGCUCUCUAUUGGUUUCCCAAUAUUAGAGAAUUUAUAGAGGUGGAAUUAGGUCAGACAGAGCCUCAUGGGGCCCAUAAGGUAACAGGUCAACCCCCCAGGGCGCGGCCUGUUGCCUUGUCGUCUCCUCGAUUGCCGUUUGGUCUCCUCCCAAAACUUCUAGGGUCUCUUUUGUCUAGAAAAAAAUCAUCAAAAAGUUUCGUAGCGUUUGGACUCCGUUUGGUACUGAUUUUCUGGAAAACCAAAAAUAAGCAUAAAACAACAACUGGUACUAGGCACUGGGUUAAUAGGUUAAAACCCAAAAAUAAUAUAAAAUAGCAAAAAAGUCAUAUAAAAUAUCCAAGAUUGAUACUAUAAUAGCAUGGAACAAUAAAAAAUUAUAGAUACGUUGGAGACAUAUCAAGUACCUAAUUUUGAACAUUUUAAAUAAUAUUCAAAUGACAGGAGUAGCAACACAUGAGUACACCACAUAGGUACUCCUGGAGUAAUGCUUCGUCUUGUCUCUGGUGGUCUUAGGGCCAUGGCGACACGGUGAAUCCUGACCCUUGCCUGUGGGAGGGCUCCGUUUUAGAUGUUUCUUCGGGUCUUGUUAAGGUUUGUGUCCUGCUCAGGAAGACGAGAAAACGACUACUCCCUGAAGAUGGAAUAAGGUUCUCUGCGCCUAGCCCCCAUCCAGAUGGUGCGUCUAGAAUCGUCGGUGCGCGUAUGGAAGUGUAUCUCCGGCGGAUCUAUCCUUGGUGGGUUUGCUCGGAUUUAGUCGUAGUUUGUCUACGUUCGUGCCUUCAAGUUGAAUCCUUCCGAUCUACGGUACUCUUCAAUGGCGGCAAUUGUUGUUCUGAGGGGCUGGUCCUAUGGGGCCUUAGCAUGACGACUUCCUGACUAUCUACUACAAUUUUUGCCCAGCUUCGGCGAGAGAGGGGUGAUGGCAGCAGCGCACCUUCGGCUCGCUUCAGUGCUUGUAGUCAUCGCUAGGUGGUCUAAGGAUCUAGAUGUAUUUUUUAUGGAAUCGAUAAGUGUCGAACAUGCCGGAUUCUGUCUUCUGGCGCCGAAUGCACUCAUUGUUGUUGUUUUGCGUGCACGAAUCUUGGUGCAGGGUAUUGUGUCCAUGUCAACGUGUUGAAGUGUUCGGGGUAUUAUGAUUUGAUCGCAAAUGACAGCCUUAUCCUCCUUCCCUUUCGAUCUUCCCUGACCCACGCACCACUCUUCUAACAUCCACAUUCCCUCCCGCAUCUCUCUCUCUCUUCUGUGACUCCCCCGGCGAGCUGCGGUGGCAGCGUCAGGAACCGGAGAAGAUCUUCGGCUUGGGGUGGGCGCGCGGCAUGGUGGGCUCCGGGGGACGCGCAAUGCAUGGGGUCGAUGUGCGUCGGCCGAGGAGGAGGGCGGUGGCUGCCGAUGGUCGCCGCGCCGUCGUGCAACACCACCGCACCACCCCAAGGAGUUCCCGCACCACCCUCCCGGCAUUGUGCACCGCCCCCACCCCCCUGAGAUGCAACCCGCUCAACCUCAGCGACGCAACUGCACCCCACCCGUGCAAUGGCGGCAACCUCGGCAGCGUAGCGAAGUGGUGGCGGGAGAGGUGGAGUGGCCUUUGACGCCAAUCGCGUGCGGCGAUGACUGAUAUCUCCUUUUAUUGAUCCAGUAUUUGAACAUAAAAGAGUAUCCCACACCUAUUUCCUUGAGGUGACACUGGGUUAUCGAACCCACGAGAGGAAGAUUCCCUUGAAGCGAUGGUCUCUAGCAAGCUUUUGUCGAAGUGUCAAAUCCAUCUUUUGACCAGAUCAACAAGCAAAUAGUGAUUCAAACACUUAUAAUAAAAAGAAGUACAUGUAUGAGGUCUUAUGCUUACAACCUUGUAUUUACGCUGGGAUCAAAUAAAAUAUUAAUUUGUGCACUAGAAGUCACACGUCGAGAUGUGCUUGUUACGAAUCGAAGUGGGGGAUGUGUCCAAUAACAUCUUGACCGGCACGAGUCCUGCAUGAAGACUAGUUUUCCUACCGCGGGCCCUAUCCGUCGCGCGUGGUUGCCUCGAUAAUUAAGAUAAUGAAAUCAGACAAGAGCUUUGGGCGUUUAACGACUACACCUCAUUUCUCCCCAAGGAUAUGAUCCAUGUUACCCUACUGAACCUUACUGUCAACGGUGUUCAGUAUAAAAAAUCACGGUCUCCUUGCUCCUAGCCUCAUCAAUGCUUGAUCUCCAUGAUCUUGGGUACCUUACAAGACAAGAGACAUCUUCACAGAAAAAUUUUAUUUCACACAUACGGGACGUUAUGUCAAAGUCUUCCAUUGAUCCCCUCAAUAAAUACCUUAGGUUGCAAGGCUUAUGCCCCAACCCAUACCUUACUGAACUACUCACAUGUGAAGAUCAUAUCGUGAGAAGAAAACAUUGAAGAACACAUCUUGAGAUUGAUUGACUGCAAUAUGUCUUACAAUGGAUGCCUUGUGCGAUGCAUGAUUACAAGUAUGAAUGGAAUGGAUGAGCAUUAUGGUGGUGGUGAAGAUGGCUAUGGCCAUGGCGGUGGCUAGGGUUUGUGGAUGGGGAUGAUCAUGAAGAGGUUCUGGCUUCUGUGCUCAUCUCCUGGUUGACAUUUCGACGAGGUUCCUUUAACGAAAGUUGUUCGGGUGGAUGAUCUGCCUCGAAAUUCACGCCAAACGGGCACUCGUGCCCGUAUGAGACUUCGUCUUUUGUGCUGACUUUGCACAUACGCUUCCUGUUGAUUCAUUCUCCUUCCAUUCCAUUUUCAUACGUGAUUUCUUCCCGUUUUAGCCCAUUUCAUGUGGAAACACAUCAAAGAGAGGAUUUGUGAAAUCUGUUGCAUUCAUUAGUCAUUGAUACUAAUAUCGGAGCGAAUAUCUCUUUUUAAUUAAAAUAUCUCGAUUUAAACAAAGGUGAAAUGAGUGUAAAAAUAUUACUCAUCAACGACAACCACCUCCAGGCUACUGCCGCUCCCCCUGAAGUGGGGCUGCGUCGACGACGCUCGCGGAAAUGACGACCAUGUCCAUGCAUCUGGCGCUCCCUGACGUGGGGCUGCGCUUCGAGGAAGACCGCGGGGACAAUGACCACUCCAGGCAUCUGCGCUCCCCGAUGUGGUCACAAAUGCUAGCUGCCCCGCUCCGGCGGGGUGCUUGAAGAUCAGCGCCCGUGUCCUAGUCAGAGCUUUGCUCGGUAAUGCCCAGCCCACUACUAUUUUUUUGUUCUAGCGAUGCAUACAUCAGAAGUGAAUCGGCUGGGCAGAGGUGAACUAGGUCAUUUUGUUUUGAAUGUGUCUACUGAAUCAAUAGAACAACCUUUUUUGUGUUUUUCGCUAUCACAGUUUGAAAGUUAUUUGUUUUGGGUGAUCUGAAUAAAACAAAGAUGCGUACCUUUUUCUGUGCAUUUCGUUACCACUGACUGGAAAUCAUUUGUUUUGUGUGAUCUGAAUAAAACAGAGAUGCAUACUAGUCUUCCGGGAUGGAAUGGAAAUUUUUGUCCCUAGAUUUUGUUGUAGUUGUGACAGGCUAUGAGAUUUGAGAAGAAAAUAAAUGAUUUGCAGCUAGAUUGAUUAGGCCAUGUGCGCCGAAUUUCUGUAGUGGGGAAAGUGAUUUUUAGAGUUUAGGGAUAUGGAGUAAUCAAAGCUUGUUUUUCAUUUAGAGAGAAAGAUUCAGGACUAAACAUGUGCUCUACUAUACAAUUUUUCUUAAAUAUGUCAUCUCAUCGUACAUUUUUUCUUAAAUUUUCCUGGAAGAUGGCAAAUAUAGUUAUCGAAUCAUGGCAAAUUUUGUUUUCGGGUCAUGGAAAAUUCAUUGCUUUCUUGCCAUGGCAACUUUUCAUUUUGGAUCAUGGCACAACUUUACUGUUUCUACCAUGGCAUUUUUUUGGUAGACCAUGGCAACUAAUCUUAUACUUUUUGCCAUGUAAACAUUAAAAAAAUUAGUUAAUUGAUCAUGGCAAAUUUAGUUUACGCAUCAUAGGAAAUUUGCUUCCUAGAAGAUGGCAAAUGUAGUUAUCGAAUCAUGGCAAAUGUAGUUCUCGGAUCAUGACAAAUUCAUUGCUUUCUUGCCAUGGCAACUUUUGAUUUUUAAAAUUGUCAUUGCAAUUCUUAAAAUUUUCAAAAAAAACACUAAAUGCCAAAUAUUGUCAUGGCAAGUUUUACUAAUUAUUUACCUUUAUUAACAUGGCGAAUUUACCUAAAUCCCCAUGGCAUUUUUUUAACAUUUAUUGCCAUGGCAAGUUUUACUAUUUAUUGCCCUGGCAAAUUUAUCUUUUAUUAACAUGGCAAAUUUACCUAAAUCCCCAUGACAAUAUUUAACUUUUAUUUCCACGGCAAGUUUUACUAUUUAUUUGACUUUUAUUAACAUGGCAAAUUUAUCUAAAUCCUCAUGGCAAUAUUUGAACUUUUAUUGCCAUGGCAAGUUUUACUAAUUUUUUGCCAUGGCUGAUAGACCUUCAUUAACAUGGCAAAAUUACCUAAAUCCCCAUGGUAAUAUUUAACUUUUAUUGCCAUGGCAAGUUUUACUUUUUAUUUUACCGAUGACUAAUUGACCCUUAUUAACACGGCAAAUUUACCUAAAUUUCCAUGGCAAUUUUAACUUUUAUUGCCAUGGCAAGAUUUACUAUUUAUUUGACCAUUAUUAACAUGGCAGAUUUUACUUUUUUUCCAUGUCAAAUAUAUGCAAAUUUUAAUAUGAUUUUGGUUAUGGCGUUUCUCUAUGUUCUUUUUUUCAACAUUUUGUAUUUUUUCACACACGGCAUUUUUCGCAUACAUUACAUGUAAAAUUAAGUAAAAGUACCAUGACAUUUUUUGCUAUGAAUUUGCCAUUGCAAAUUAUUUUGUUUGUAUGAUGGAAAUUGCCAUGACUUUUUUUCUUUUUUGGGUUAUUGUUAAAAUAUAUUCUUGUUCACCCAUGGCAAUUUUGUGCGUUUAAAAGUUGAUGGUAUUUUUUUUUUACUUAACAAAGCAAAAAAUUGGGAUUUUUUAAUCACAGCAAAAGAAAAGAAAAAUCUGGGCUUUUUUCUUCUAUUUUUCGUUGCUGGUCUUUUUGAUUCACCUUUUGAGUUGUUAGGGGCUGGGGAGGCGUUCGCGCUGUGGCUUUCUCCUCCCGAACAAACGUUCCCGCAAAUAUCAAAACACAAAGAGAAGGAUAAAUGGCGUGCGUCUGGAGUUGAUAAAUUGCAAAGCUUCACGAAAGUACAAUGUGAGAUUCCUCGGGUUCCGAUUCCCAGUUGACAGCAGCCACGGCACAAGUUUCCUCCCGAACAGUACAAUUUGUCAUCAGGGUCACCAACUUGAGCAUGAAACGCGUGGUAUAUAUAACAGCAGUUCACGUUCAGCACUGCACGGCAGCAUAAAGAGAGAUUCUUCGAGUCUCAAUUAGUAGCAGAUAAAUUUUCCAAUCAGCAUCUAGACCAGAUAAAUCUCAAACCAAGAAUCUACUUUACCCGAGACUUUGCCGUGCGCUCAUUGGGCUCAAGCAUAUGCGAUAAACCGAAGUUCUAUCCGCCGCGCCAUCGCCUUCUUUCCCUCUUUAUAAAAGGCCAGCAAGGAGCUCAAGCUUCUUCCAACACCACAAUGGCUCACAACUUCGUGCCUGAUGCAUGGGGUUGGAUCAGCAGCCUGCCCCCAUUCUCCCAGUGGCGCACCAACACCAUGUCCCUCUGCAUCUGCGCCACGC
rnacentral:lncRNA from 1 species